AAAAAAAGUAAUGGUGCAACAAAAAUAUUAAUAUAAUAUGAAAAGAACAAAGUAGAAGAAGAGAAUGAAGAAGACGAAGAAGGAAAAGAGUGUAGAAGAAGAAGCAGAAGAAGAAACAUGCUGCUAGACAUUUAUGCUUAUGUUGCACAAUUUAUGUAGAUUUUAUUAUAUUUAAAAGAGAAUAAUUUCAUUUAGUUUCUUGUAAAACACAUCAAAUAGCAGAUAUAUCCUAUAAAUCUCAAGUUAUCAGAUUUAUUUAUCAAAAAGUACCAACCGUUUCGAAUAUACUCCUUAUAUUAGUGCUGUUAGAAAAAUGUAGUUAACCAUCGAUAAAUUACGUAACUUUGAUUAGUGAGUAAGAUAAAUUAACCGUUUUACUCCUAUGAUAUUAUAAUCUCAUUAACUACUUGAUGGGCUUUAGUCUUAGUUGAAGAGGAACAAACGCUUUUGCUCAAAUCUCGCGAAGUGACAAAAUCAGCGAUCGAAGCCCUCGGGGAUGGCACCCUGAAAACCCUUUCUGCUAACCCCUCCCACGAAGCCCUCUAGUAUUUUUGGGUUUAAUAUAAGAAAAUGAGUGAGAAAGUGAAGUACUAGAUAGGUAAGGGAGAAAAGCAGUGAGAGAAGAGAUAGAAAAGAGAUUGCGACAAUGGUGGAUUCCGUUUAGUUUUUAUAGAAAACGUAGAUGAACGUUGAAAAUUGUUUAGGAGGACAAUUUUAUACCAUUCUAUCAAUUGGGUUUUUUGAGGAAUAUAUUUAAUUAUAAUGGCAAAAUUGACAUUUCACUUAUCUUAUGUCAAAGAAUAAAUAGUGAACUAACAGUAACAAAAUAUAGGGACAAAUAUAAAUGUUGUGUUUCUGAGCUUUGGAUAGGAUUGGCUUCAGUAAUAGUGACUGGUCGACAUAUCUGGAGAGUGUCGGACUGAGUCGGAGUUGUUUCUGUGCGAAAUGGAUGCAGAAAUAGACUCGGUGCACUCAAUUAAGAAAAACUGGAGUUUUGCCAUAUUCGGGCGCCCAGAACUGGUUUUGGAUCGCCCAGAAGUUGAGUGCAAAACUGAGCAGAACUGGAAGCCAAUUCGGGUCCAUGUUUCAGGCGCCCGGAUGUGGAUCCGAAAGUUCACCUCGUGAGUAUCGUUUGCGCUGACACGUGGCUGGUGGUAGGUGAGGUCCGCCGGAGCCGGUUAUGGGCGCAGCACACCGCGGGCGGAGGACCCAAAGGUGAGCAAGUGUGUUGCCUGGAGGUUUCGGACGCCCAGAAAAAGAUUUUGGGCGCCCGAAAAUGUCCGUUUCUGUAGAGUUGCAAGUUAGCAGCUGCUGUUCCUGAGGCUUAUGGGACCGUUCUAACACCCUAUAAAUAGGUGGUGUUCGACCACAGUGGGCUCUUUUCACCUGUUCUUCACAAAGAAGCCUCAAAUUGAAUUUCCAACCCUCAGAUUUCCUCAAAUUGCAUCCAAUCUUUCAAUUGGAAGGUGGAGUGCUGAUUCUGCAGUUUUUCGGCAACGACUUUCGGUGUUUUGGCUCGUGUGCGACGUAGAAAGGUUGGAUUGUGGUGAAACUUGGUUUGCUGGAUUCUAGACUUCCAGAGGAAUCCAUGAAGCCCAGAAUUUCAUUUUUUGGUUGAGGUUAGCUUAGUCGAUUCCAUAUUUUCUUGGACUGUUGGUGACUUUGAGCUGAAAAUCUAAUUUUUGGGUUUAUCUUGGUGCUAUCUUUGGAGGCAUGGUGGUUUUGGACCUGAGACACAUACUCCAUCCUACUCCACUGGAUUUGAGACUUUCCAUACCAGAUUUGGAUGUGAUUAGGUAAGUUUGGACAUUGGAGUUGGGUUAAUUUAGCUUAAGUGUUGAAAAAUUAUAUUGAUUGUGACAUUUUGAUGGAUUUUAGUAGAUUCGGAGGUUCAGAUCUGGAUUGUGGAUCCUUACCGGCUGAGAGGGAGUUCGGCUGAGUAUCCAGCAUCUCCGAGAUCUUCUUGCUACCAGGAAUUAGCUUUUGAUGUGGGUGUUUCAUCGGUUUCGCUCCUAAGUGCUUGUGUAGUCGACAUGUAUGAUUUCGGUUCUUGUAUUUCAUGUGGUAGCUCAAAUUCAUUGAUUGUAGCAUGUAUGCAAUCUGAAUUGGGAGCAUGAUUAUUAGUUAGAUGAAUAUACAUAUUGGACUUGGAACUUGACUUAGGAGAAAACCAGCGAUUCGACCUGUUAUGUGAUUCUACUACCUGAUUUAGCUCUAGGAGCCGUGGUUUGAUUGUAUCACCACUGUUUCAGCGCGGUGGAUAUCUGGGGUAGUUUAGAAUGCAUUUACGCUCGUGCUGGGAUGCCGAGCUUAUUUUUACAGCAGAGUUUAGGCUAUUUCAGGUUGUCGAGUGCCGUCGGGGUGGACGGUGGACCCAGAUUUCUGUUUUGGUCUCAGAUUGUGCCGAGGGCACGUGGGUUUGGUUUCUAGACCUGUUUUGACCCUAGCUUCUUGACUUUGGCUUGUUAGAGCCUGAUUGAGCUCGACAAAGAUACGCAGCAUACUCGGUUGGGUAACUCCCACGAGUGCCACUCCGGAGACAGGCGCUAUGCUUUUGCGUUGGUGUCGUUCGUGCAGGUUGGACUUGCUCUCCACAGACUGGUUAGUGUGGAGGUAGCUGUAUAGUCACAACCGGGCGGGACGGGUGUGUUCACAGUCCCAGGGACGGGUAUGAUUACAGUCCUUAUUUGAGAUUGGGUCUGAGUUGACAUUGUUCUACAGAAGGUUAGAGUUAAAGCAUGAUAGUAUAGCGAUAUUUAGCUGUAGAUUAAUUCCAGCUUUCUUUACUAUUCCUGCUUAUCCCUGUAGACUUAGUGGGUGGACCGAUGAGUUUGAGGGCGGUACCCACUGAAGACUACUUAUUUUUACAGUAGUUCUCACGCCCAGUUGUUACCACUGUUUUGCAGAGCCGUCGCCUUCAGCUGCUACUGUUGCUGAUCUUGAUCGUGACAAGGGCGUCGCGAGUUAGAGCCCUUCCAGUCGAAUCGCAGAGCUAGAGGAGCACCAGCUACAGGUAGUUGUAGUUUUUGGGUCUUUACAUAUAGUUGUUGUAUCUCGCCAGAGCGAGUAUUUGUAUACCCUGAAUGACAUGUAUGUAUUAAACUGCAGUUUAUAUAUUUGGUUUAUUUUUCUUUGCUGCUCUAUACUACUGUUUGUAGUAUUGUAUGAUUAUAAGUACUUCUACUUUUCGCUUUGUAUACGGGAGAAAUACCUAUGUAUACGGCGGGUCUGUUAGCGAGCCCGGGGAAACGAGUAAUCCAAAGCGUGACAAUAAAUGUCACUGGACUUUUAAAAGGAUAAAUAUGAUAACUUGAACUUUUUAUGGGAUAUAUCUGCCAAUUGAUAUGUUUAUUGAGAGUUGUAUCAAAUUAUUCCUUUAAAAAGUAUUGCAUUUUUUCUUUCCUUACGAUAUUUAAUCCUUCGAUUUUUGUGAUUAUUAUUUUUUGAAAAGUGUUUCACAUAUGGUAAACGUUGAAAAGUAACAAUAGAAAUACAGAAUUCACAUUAGAAAUUUCAACUAAUGCAGAUCCGAAAACACUAGAUAGUUUGUUAUUUUGAGUAGAGUUAUUAUACUAUUAGAAGCAUAAUGGGGUUGAUACUUUCAAUUUUUUGGCCAUUGGAUCAACUCCUCUGAUCAUUUCUGACAUUUGGAUUAAUAUUAUUACCCUAUGGUAGGGGUGUCAACGAGCCGAACACGAGCGAGCUGAGGCCGACUCGUGUUCAGUUUGUUUCAUAAACGAGCCGAACAUAAGCUGGCUCGUUAAAAUACUGAGCUGAAAAAUUCAAUUCAUGUUCGGCUUGUUUAUUAACGAGCCAAAUACUAGCUGACUCAUGAACAAUAGGUUAAAAGAAUUAUGAAGGAUACGUAUAAUAGAAAAUAAAUUUAUGAGAUCUUAUCUAUUUCACAUUGAUCUAAUAGUUGAAAUUUCAUACAUAAAUGACCUUUUUAUAGUUGAGUUGGGCUUUAUAUUUAGGUUAAGCUAAAACCAAUUUUAUAUAUAUAUAUAAUAUAUAAAUAUAUAUAUUUAUUUAAAGUUAUAUAUAUAUAUAUAGUUGAGCUGGAAUGCUAUCGUAGCAAACGGGCUCCGUUGCCACCCAUUUAUUUUCGAUAUGGAGCUUUCAAAUCGACGAUCGGCACGUGGAACAUGAUCUAUAUCACUUGAAGUAUCUAGAAAGUCAAAUUUCAAAUCUUUUGACAUCAUUUACCUAAUGAUCAAAGGGUUUCAAAAUUAGUAAUUUUAAUGGUUGAUAUGAGGGGUUUCUCGUUUAAUGGUGUAAAGUCUAUCCAAAUCAAUUAAAUUUUGGUUAGAAAAUUUUUUAAACUAUUUAGAAUAAGAUCUAUCUCUGAUCAUAAUUAUAAAAUUUUUAUCAUCACUUUUAGAGGAUAUUCAUUUUCAGCCAUUCAUUUUUACGCCCACUUGAUGGACAAGAAAACAAUAUCGAAAAAGUAUGAAAUUUGAUUUCUAGAUACUUUCAAGUAGUAUAGAUAAUUUCAAAGGUGCCGAUCGUCGAUUUGAGGCUCCAUCAUCGAAACAAAUGGGGUGCAACGGAGCCCGUUUGCUACCGAUAUAUUCCAGCUCAACUCUCUCUCUCCUCCUCUUAUCUCUUCUCUCUCUCUAUCCUCCCUCUAUCUAUACCUAAUAUUAUAGUAUAAUCACUAUCCUAUAAUAUAUAUAUAUAGACGAAAAGACGAGAGAGAGAGAGAGAGAGAAGAGAGAGAGAGAGAGAGGCUACUAUGCUUCUGGAAGCACGGAGCCUGCGUGCUCCAGGGCCCGUUGUUUCGAUGUUGCGACUUUCGAAUCGUCGAUCGGCUCCGUUAAACUUGAUCUAGAGUAUUUGAAGUACCUAGAAAAUAAAUUUUAUGAUUUUUCGAUAUCAUUUGCCUAGUGAUCGAAAGGGCUCAAAAUCAAUAAUUUUAAUGGCCGUAGUAAGCCGUUUGCAAGUUUAACGAUAUAGAAAGAUCCAAAUCACGUGAAAUUUUGAUAGAAAAUUUUUUAUACUAUAUAAAACAAUAUCAAUAUCUUUGAUCUAAAAUUUUAAUGUCAUAUUAUCACAUUUUGUAAGAUUUUUAUUUUCAGUCGUUGAUUUUGAGUCCCUUCGUUCACUAGGCAAAUGUUAUCGUAAAAUCAUAAAAUUUAUUUUCUAGGUACUUCAAAUACUCUAGAUCAAGUUUAACGGAGCCGAUCGACGAUUCAAAAGUCGUAACAUCGAAAACGGUCUGGAAGCACGGAGCCUUCCGUGCUUCCAGAAGUAUAGUAGCCUUACUCUAUAUACAUAUAUAUAUGGGAAAACUUCAAAAACGCCCCCUGUGGUUUCGUAGUUUCUCACUUUGCCCCCCUGUGGUUUAAAGUGUAUCAAUUUGCCCCCCUGUGGUUUCGUUUUUAUCUUUUCGGUAGUUUUCUCUUUAAUAUUUCGUUAAAUUAUAUACAAAAAACUUCAGAUACCUAUCUAUAUUUAUCAAAUAUUCACUUUAGUACUCUUUAAUUUUAACUUUAUUACUGAUUUAAAAAAAAAAUAAUGAAAUUGAUAAGAAAAAGAAAAAACAAAACCACAGGGGGCAAAUUGAUACAUUUUAAACCAAAGGGGGGCAAAGUGAGAAAUUACGAAACCACAGGGGGGUUUUCUGAAGUUUUUCCUAAUAUAUAUAUAUAUAUUUAUAUAAAACUAGGCUGGAAUACUAUUAAUAGCACAAAUAACUUGGUGCUAUUAAGUUUUCUGCUAUAUAACUAAGCUAGAAUAUUAUUAAUAGCACCAAUGACUUGGUGCUAUUAAGUUUUCUGCCCCCGGAUUAAAAGAUGUGCGGUAACGAUGAUGUGCGGCCCCUAGGGUUGAGCGGGUGAUUUGUUGAAUAGUAUAUUCGAACGGAUAAAAAUGAUAAAAGAGGUAAAUCUAACGAUAGAAAACUUGAUAGCACCAAAUAUUUUGUGCUAUCGAUAGUAUCCUAGUUAUAUAUAUAUAUAUAUAUAUAUAUAUAAUAUGUAUUCGAGUUGUUAUUGAGUCGAACACGAGCGAGCUGACCCCAACUCGUGUUCGGCUCGUUUAUUAAACGAGCGAUUCGAUUUCGAGCUCAUUUCGAGCCGAACAUGAGCUGACUCAUGAACAGCAAACUGGAUUGGCACCUCUACCCUAUGGGAACCACUCAACUCUAGGGGGACAACUGAUCCCUAGGGGGACCACUAUCAUCCCAAUCGUAUAAUCCUUGAUCCAAGGGCUAAAAAGUAGGAAGCACCAACUCCUUCAUGCUUCCGAGAGCAUAGUAACUCUACACUAUUAUUUUUAUUCCUUAUUACUUUUUACAGAAUACGAAAAUUUAUUAUGCAAAAGAGUUUGAUACAUAUAUUUAUGGCUAAAUUAUAAAAAUCCUCCUUAUAAAUACCCCUUUUUUUACUUUUUCUUCUUGACUUUCGAAAACCUGCAUUUUACCCCCUCGGUAUUUUAAGUUAUUGUAUUUAGCCCCCCUCCGUCAAGGUUCCAUCACUAUCGUCCAUUUCUUAUAAUUUAUACCAAAUAUAACCUUCAAAAUGACAGAAAUAUAAUAAUUUUUUUUUCUUAUAGAAAAAGUAAGAGCAAUUUGAUCAUUUUGCCCUAUCCAUUAACGUUGUAUCCCCCUGAAAAUAUUUCUGAAAUUUUAAGGGGGAAAAAUGUAUAUUUUUAAAAGUCGGGAAGGGAAAAUAAAAUAGCAGGUAUUUACAAAAAAAAAAUUCUCUAAUUUAACCUAUAUUUAUUUAUAUUUUGGGCAGAAAAGUUAUUUAGUUAGCCUUUCAAAAAAAAAAAUGGAAUCAAAUUUAUGAAAUUUAGAAAAAUAAAUGAAAAUUGUGAAGUCGUAAAUGUCACGCCCCGGGGUCCCUUUUUAGUUAAAAGCAUAACGGAAAAGCGUUUGAAUUUUUUUUUUUUUUCUGAAAACCUGACCCCAGAGUAUACCAGAUCCGCCACAAAUAUAGGAGGUCCAUUGUUCACACGGACAGAGUCUCCCCUGUAUUUGCACGGCGUCGCACAAGUACAAUAGUUCAAACAUGAUACAACCACAACCAGAUGAACAUACAAAUAACCAACAGUUAUACAUUCAUACACCAUUCACCACAGUUUCACAUUUAUACCUUCAAUGUUUAAACAUAAAUCUACAUCUAUCAGUCAAAAGGUUUCCAACCACAGAAACAGGUUUUGAAAUACUAAAAUAUAAAAGCCACAGAAAACCUUUUGAAAACUGUUCCCUAUACAGGAACUUUUAUCUUUUAAGAACGCUACCACGAGGGGUAGAAAACCUUUUAUUUUACAAAAUUCAGAAAUCCUUUUAUUACGUUCAUGAAAAUCCACAUAUUCAAAUGUAAGAAAAAUACUGAACCAUAUAAACCAACUAAACUAUACAUCAACAAAAUUAAUAGGGGUAAUAACUAAAUCGAAAUAACCUGAGUCGGAAGCUCUAUUGACCGCUACGUAUCUCACGUCUCGUCUCAACCCUCACCGCCCGCGAUACCUGAAAAAUAGUGGUGGAGGUGAGAACAUGUAAACAUAUCUCCCCUCCCAGUGGGUACCGCAAGCCGAAGAAGGCGAGGAGUACUCACCGGAUCAGGAAGAGCUAUACAACAACACGGGUCAGUGGAAAUAUAGCAGCAACAACAAUAAACGAAAGAGAUAUGUAAGGUAAUGAGCAGAUAUACCGAAUACAAUAGCAAUAAACUGAAAGAAAGUAAGAACUAGACUGAAUAACGGUUACGGCUACUGUAACUGAAAUCGAAAGCAUACAUGAAUAUCUACUAUAGUAGCAAGACAACUAUAAAGUAAGAACUGUAAAUAUGUAUGCAACGACUGCUACUAGAGACAUAUGCGUCAACUGACGAUAACCUCAAAAGUACCCAAUCUCGCUGCCCUAUUGGUCCGAAGACCUCAGGCCCAUGCCACACUGCUCAACCUGUACCUGACCCUCGCAAUGAAGCCCCUGGGUCAGAAGCAUAGUACCUGACCCUCGCAAUGAAGCCCCUGGGUCAGAAACAUAUACCCUCGCAAUAAAGCCCCUAGGCUCACGGGUUGGCAAUCCAACCACUUUUCCGGAAAAGAACACCCUCUUGCGGUGGAUCAGACCGCUGGUGUUCGCGAAAUGCGUACCUGCAGUGGCGAUCAAUGUAGUAUGCUCAAAGAUCUUCCAUCGGCAACUAGCCGACAAUCCAGCCCCUCAGGGCACACCGACCGUAUAGGCCAUCAACUGUAAGGAAGCACAAGAACCGACCACUCAGGUCAACUAGGAUGGGACAACAUCGACAUCCUCUCAACUGUAUGUAAGUACUGACUAAUCAAGUCAACUGGGAUGGAACAACUCAACAUCCUACCAAAAGUAUGUAGAUACUGAUCAAUAAGUCAACUACUGUAUAUAUGCAAGAAUCGAUCAACAAGUCAUCUGAGUAUAUAAUCUAGAACUACCGUCGAUCACUAGCCGACAAUCCGACCCCUCAAGGUACACCGACCUCAAAGGUCAUCAAACGACAGAAGUCAAGGAACCGACCGACUAGGUCACCGAUCUCACAGGAAAUCACGAAACCGCUCUACUCUAAACAUGAAACAGGAUAUGCAGGAUAGCUAAGUAGAGCAACAAGAAAACAUGGUAUCACAUACAGAUAGACUAUACUCCUACACAUGAUACUAAGCAUGGAAAUAUCUGAGUAGAGUAUAACCAAACAACGUGGGUGCUAGGCUCAACACUAUAUAUCAAAAUAUAUAUAUGCCAGAUAAUAACGAGAGAACAAAGGUAAGAAACCAUCACCGAGCAUGCACCACUGUACCGACGUCGGAUCGAAGUACCCACCUGUAAAGAUGUCGCGUCUGUCUCCUGACUGCAAAAGAAUGUCAACCGGACCUACAGGGGGUCCACCGGGUUAGUAUCUAACCCACAACUAAUAACCACUAAGUCCACGACUCACAAACCCGUAUCGCUACUCACAAUCCCAAAAUCAUAGCCCCUCGGGAAUCGGUUUCCCAAAACCAAUUACCGAACAAGCCGGAAGUCCCGAAAACCGCACCGGAACUCCGUCGGGACCCACGAACUGUCCCGAAAUGUACCACUCAUGCUACGAGUCACCCGCUGCCACUAAAUACAAAUUUACGUGUGACUUGGCAGCAAAGACCCUAACUCACUCCAAAACGAUUGUCAUCGGAUAAUCGUUCCGAUAUGGGUUCCCAGAAGUGUCUAUUUCGACACCGGAACCCAUCGUCGCUCACCCGUCAUUUCUGAACUCUCGAAAUGACACGAGUGACCAGUCAACAAGGCUCAGCGACGUGGCAAAAGAUCACUAACUAUCGUCAGAAGAGUUCCGAACCGAAAUCGCGUUUCGUCGGCGGAUUUCGCCGAAAAACGCGCCGAAAAUGCAUUUCCAAUCUUAGCAAAGGUCUGGGGUCUUGGACAAUCAGUCUAGAGGUUACCCACUGCUCACCCAUGCUGCCAACAGCAGCCGCAACAACCCAAAAUACAUAAAAGCCCUCCCGAUUACCCGAAAUUGCAUUAUUUCAUGCGAUUUCGGCGCUUUUAUGGUUCGUCUACACAAACUAGAAAUCAUUCAGCCAAACUGAGACACCUACUGACAGGUCUCGGCGUGCCGGAGGCCGUGCUCACCUUUCGGAGCACUGCCGGCCGCUAUGGCACGAGCACAAGCGACACGAACUUCAGCGAAAACUGUGCGCUGAAACUAAAACACUUCAAAAUGACACAAUCGACGCUCGUUGACCCCGAUUGAGGCAAGCACUGUGAUCAGCACUGACUGAAGAUCACCGUGCUCACUUCCGGAGGCAUCGGAACAGCCUCAGGUCGCCGGAACAGUGUACACAACCCCAAACAGUGCACAAUAAUUGCAAUACUAGCUUACCGGAGCUAGGCAGGGCUCGGGGGUGGCCGGCGGCGGCCGGACGGCGGGAAGGCCGGCCAGGGGCAGGUGCGCCAGGUCAGAGGGGUCCGAGGCUCGCGUCAGCAGGCGACAGGAGGCGGCGACGUCGACGGGCGACGAUGCCCUAGGCACCUAACCCGAGGUGAGGUCGGCCCAGAACCGGCCAACAGGGAGCUCCGGCGAUAGGGAGGCCGGCAGCGGACUGGUGUGGCCGGCCAGGCGGAGCCGAUGCUCACGCCGGCCGGCGGCGGAAGGCGGCGGCGGCGGUGCCGGGCAUGGCUCAGCCUGCACAGUCCAUGCGCAGCCGCAGGGAGAGGGAGCGGCGGCCGACGGCCACAGAAACGGCUGGGGGAGCUCCGGGCGACGGCGAGCGGUCGUCGGAGGCCGGCGGGAGGCGGCCUGGCCGAUCCUUGACAGCGGCGACGCGGGGGAGAGAGAUCUGGCCAACCACGGCCAGAUCUCGCUCGGGCUGGCCGCAAAUAGUAGGAGCGGCGGCGGCGGCCACUCUGGCCGGACGCAGAGGUGCCGGCGGUCACGAGAGAGGUCGCCUAUGAGGUCGGCGGCGGUGAUCCCUGGAGGCAGAGGUCGCGCCGGCUCGGCCCGCUCUGGGUCUGGGCGGCUGCCGCGCGUCCUGGCGGCGCCGGCGACGCGCGUGGACGGCGGGGCCGGCGGGGAUGUCGCCGGAGGAGAAACCUCGGCCAGAGAACUCUGGUUCGAUGCAAAAGGAUGCUUUCCUGGGAUCCACGGCCUAAGUAGUGGAACUCGAUGGAGAGGAGAGCACUAGAAGGCCUACUCCGGUGGCCGGAGGUGCUCGCCGGCGGCCAGAGUGCGAGCGGCUAGGAAGGGGAAGGUUCAGAGGAUUGCAAGGAGGUCGGCUGAGGGAGAAGGUGAACCAAAGUUAGGGUUUUCCCAUGAUGAAACCCUAGGAACUCCUUAUAUGAUUGUCAAUUUGCACACAAGUCCCUCUACACUGAUUAAUAGAAAUUUAGUCCUUCACAGUGCGAGUAUUUUGCAAGUACGCCCUUUCACGUCUAAUUUCGCAUGAUUCGGUACAUAAAAUAUUACGACUCUUGCGAAAAUACAGUUUUCCCUACACCGACCUCUCCUCGAUCAACGUGCGAUCUCCGCAGAUUCGUCCGUCAGAUUUGCGAACGGAUUGCACCAGUACGAUCAGCACCUCGGAGACAACAAAGCUACGAUUUGGUUCACCUCGAACGAUCACGGAUUCGCGACGAAAUGCGCUUUCACCCCAAAACGGCCAAAAUGACGCACAAAUACACAUAGAACAUGUAUUUUCAGAUUUUCUCGAAAUUCGUGCGUCAAACCCAAAAUCCGUCAGCGCCAUUAGUUCCAGAAUAGCUGAACCGGUCGAAACGAGCUAUUGGACUACUAUGUUCGGAGUCCAAUACGUGCCAGAAGCCAACUCUACUCCGCGGCUUCUCCGAAAAACCAGAGUUACUAUUCACUUAAGUGAAAAUUAAUAAUCGCGUAACUUCUCUAUUCUAGCUCAUUUUCUCCUGAAACUUGACGAGUGCUUAUGUAAUUAAAUUACACAUACAAACAUCAUCAACAGAGAGUUUAGUUGCACUGUCAAAAUCUCAGUCCUUACAGUAAAAUUAAGAUUUUUUUGGGCAAUUUGCAUAAAAAGUCCAUUUGUUUUGAAUGUUUGCAAAAGUAGGCCGUUUUUGGGGAUUUUGUUGAUUAAUUCGAUCCAAAUUUUUAAUAAAUUAAUCAAAAUACUCUUAUUCUUCUUUCUCUCUUUUUUCUUUACGCUCGUCUUUUUUCGUACAUUUAGUCUUCUUCCCCCUCGCUGUUUUCUCAUCUCUUUCUCCUCCCACUUUCUCUCUUUUCUCCUUCUCCUCUACUACCUUUACAUCAAUGACACUCUCAUCUUUCUUACUUCGCCUGCACUUCCGCUGACGCCGGAUCGAAUAUGGUACAGAUCACGAUGCAGUGAAAUAUAUGGCCAUGAAUGGUGAUGGCGACGGCGAUGAGGGUGCCGCAGGUUUUGAGGACCAUGGAGAGAGAGAGAGUGCGUCAGUGCGGAGGCAAUGGUGGCAGUGGCAAAAGGCGAGAGGGGAGGUGCGGCAAGAAAAAAAGAUAUAGAGUGCGAAAGAAAAAAAUAAAGAAAAAAAUAUAUUUUUUCUCCUAAAAAAGUCAUCACGUGUAGUGGCUGUUAAAAACAAGGAAGAAAGAAGAAGAAGACGAAGUUGCAAUGUUUGAGACCAAAGUUGCACUACGUGAGAAUAAGUUACAUUGUUUAAGACAAAAUUGCACCAUAUAAAAAGUAGUAUCGUUUGAGACAAAUUGCACCAUAUAAAAAGAUCUUGCACUAGCUAUUUUUUGACUAAAUUAUAUUGUUUGAGACUAAAUUACAUUAUUUGAGAGAAAGAAGAGAGAAGAAGAAGAUGAAGUUAUACUAUUUGAGAUGAAAGUUGCACUGUUUGAGAAAAAAUUACAUCAUUUAAAAUAAAUUUGUCUUAAAUAGUGCAACUUAGUCUCAGACAAAAUUGCACUAUCUCCCACCUCCUCAUCCGCGCCCACAUGCUCCACGAGCUCCACUCCCUCUACUCCCUCCACCGCCAUCUCCUCUUCCUCCCCUCAUCCUCCUUUGCCUCCCACGCGGCGGCUACUGCUGCCAUCGUCGUCGUUUCUGUCGCGGCCAUCGCCGCCGCCGUCGUCUCCACAGUUGCUUCCGCUUCUUCAACUGUAGACAUUGUGACAAACCCAAACCCACAGCUUCUUCCUACUAAUUUAUCAUAAAUGACCUGUAGUAAAACAAAUAAAUUAAAUAAUAACCAAUCGCUGAAGAUAUACAAGUAUGAGAACAGUAAUUUACCUUAGUACAGUGACUGCUUGAAACAACAAGAUUUCUAUAUACAACUACAUGAUGGGUCAAAGAAAACAAAAUAUUCUAUUACACCAAUCCAUCGCAAACUAGCCUACUAAUAUAGAAGAGCACCAACAAUUAUCAAUAUGUGCUGGCACCUACAGCUUUCAGUAUAAGUGUUGGCUCAUUCCAUUAGAAGACAUGAUUGGCCAUUUAAAUUAUAGAUAAGCACGCAUUAAGCACUUUGAUAGUCAUUUGCAAUCAGUAUACCGACGCGCAAGAAACUAAUUAUGGGAUUGUCGGGCAAUAUAUAGAAGCUCAACAUUUUCCUUUUACUUUCCUUAUUUUAAAUGGCAAUACGAAAGAGGAUUAUAAAUGCAAGCAAAUAACUACGGAAGACGAUGACGACGGCUGUGGCAGCUGUAGUGCUUCUGAGCUUUGGAUAGGAUUGGCUUCAGUGUUGAUUGGUCGACACAUUUGGAGAAUGUCAGACUGAGUCGGAGUCGUUUCUGCGCGAAAUGGAUGCAGAAAUGGACUCGGCGCACUCAAAUAAAUGAAACUGGAGUUUUGCCAGAUUCGGGCGCCCAGAACUGGCUUUGGGUCGUCCAGAAGUUGAGUACAAAACUGAGCAGAACUGGAAGCCAAUUCGGGUCUAUGUUUCUGGCGUCCGGAUGAGAGUCCGAAAAGUUCACCUCGUGAGUAUCGUUUGCGCUGACACGUGGCUGGUGGUUGGUGAGGUCUGCCGGAGCCUGAUAUGGGCGCAGCACACCGCGGGCGGAGAGUCCGAGGAGGAAGCUUUGUGUAGCCUGGAGGAUUCGGGCGCCCAUAAUGUGGGUCCGGGCACCCGGAAGUGCCCGAGUCUGCAGGGACACCAGAUUACGGCAGCUGUUCUUGGGGCUUAUUCUACCAUUCCAGCACCCUAUAAAUAGGUGGAGAGUGACCCUGGUGAGCUCUUUUCACUCUCUCUUCACAGUAGCAUCUCUGAUUUCUCCUCCACUCCUCGAAUUUCCUCGGAUUUCAUCCAAUCUUUCAAUUAGAAGGUGGUGGAGUGCUGAUUCUACAGUUUUCCAGCGACGACCUUCGGUAUUUUGGGUCGUGUGCGACGUAGGAAGGUCGGAUUGUGGUGAAACUUGGUUUGCUGGAUUUUAGACUUCCAGAGGAAUCCACGAAGCCCAGAAUUAUAGAUUUUGGUUGAGGUUAGCUUGGUCGAUUCUAUAUUUUUCUGGACUGUUGGUGACUUUGAGCUGAAAAUCUAUUUUUUUGGAUUUUCUUGAUGCUAUCUUGGGAAGCAGGGGAAGUUUGGACUGAGUUAGAUAUCUCAGGUUACUCCACUGGAUUUGAGACCCUCCUCACCAGAUUUGGAUGUGAUUAGAUGAGUUUUGACAUUGGAGUUGGAUUAAUUAAGCUUAAGUGCUGAAAUUAGCAUUGUCAUUGAUGCAACUUGGUUAUCUUGGGUUCAGAUCUUGGGAGAAGGGUAGUCUUGAACCUGAGAAACUUUCUACAUCCAAUUCACUGCUGAGGGAACCUUGCUACUGCUGAUUUGAAGGUAAUCUAGUGAAAUUAGCAUUGUAUUUGAGCUAAUUUAAGCUUAAGUGCUGAAUUAUUGGAUUUUUGUGGUUUUCGACGCUAGAUCCUUCAAGUAUUCCAAUUGCUGUUUUGGUGUGAUUUCGGCUGAGUCUCGCAGCAGUUCCGAGAUCUCCUUACUGCCAGGAGAGAGAACAUUUGAGGUGGGUUUAUCAUCGGUUUUGCUCCUAAGUAUGUGUAUAGUAAAUAUGUAUAGUUUCGACUUCGGGAUAUCAUGUUGUAGCUCAAAUUCAUCGAUUGGUAUAAUGUAUGAAAUCUGAAUUUGGAGCAUGAAUAGUAAUUAGUUGAAUAUACAUGUUGGACUUGGAACUUGACUUAGGAGAAAACUAGCGAUUCGACUUGUCAUAUGAUUUUACUACCUGAUUUAGCUCUAGGAGCCGUGGUUUGAUUGUAUCACUGCUGUUUCAGCGCGGUGGAUACCCGGGAUAGUUUAGAAUGCAUUUAUGCUCGUGCUGGGAUGCCGAGCUUAUUUUUACAACAGAGUUUAGGCUGUUUCGGGUUGUCGGGUGCUGUCGGGGUGGACGGUGGACCGAGAUUCCUAUUUUUGGUCUCAGAUUGUGCCGAGGGCACAUGGGUUUGGUUUCUAGACCUGUUUUGACCCUAGCUACUUGACUUUGGCUUGUUAGAGCCUGAUUGAGCUCGACAGAGAUACGCUAUAUACUCGGUUGGGUAGCUCCCACGAGUGCCACUUCGGAGACGGGCGCUGUGCUUUUGCGUUGGUGUCGUUCGUGCAGGUUGGACUUGCUCUCCACGGACUGGUUAGUGUGGAGGUAGCUGUAUAGUCGCGACUGGGCGGGACCGGUGUGUUCACAGUCCCAGGGACGGGUAUGAUUGCAGUCCUUAUUUGAGAUUGGGUCUGAGUUGACACUGUUCUACAGAUGGUUAGAUUUAGAGCAUGAUAGUAUAGGGGCAUAUAGCUGUAGAUUUGUUCCAGCUUUCUUUACUAUUCCUGCUUAUCUCUGUAGACUUUGUGGGUGGACCGAUGAGUUUGAGGGCGGUACCUACUGAGGACUACUUAUUUUUAUAGUAGUUCUCAUGCCCAGUUUGUCACGCUCGGGUAUCAGCGGAAGCCUACCCGGUACGCGCACAGACCCGCCACACACCUGCAGUAUAUAUGGCGUCUACAAAAAAAAUUUAUCGAAAGAAGGAAACAUAGAAGAAUCCUAACCUGAUAUCAGAACAAAGUAUAAGUCAAUAAUACCACUAUCAAAAGAACAGUAAGUCUACAACCCAAAAUCUCAACAUCAUAGAGAUACAUCAAACUGUAGUUCCCGGUGCAAACCACACAGACAUCACAGGGUCACUCAAAAUAUAUAUACAAUGGUAGUCUCUCUAUAUACGGGUACAUCACCCUCGGCCGUAGCCCGAGUAGCAAGGUGAUCAUCUAGUCAAGCUCCAAGCUAUAUCUAGCUCGAUGCGACUCCCUUGCUACGAUCCCUAGCCUCUCCUGUAGCAGAGGGGUCUGCAAAAACAACAAUAAAAAUGGCGUGAGAACUAUUAAACAAUAGUUCUCAGUAGGUAAGCCGCCAGCCUCGGCGAAUUAUACCACUAGGCUCAUAAUGUACUAUUAGAAAGAUAAGAACAUUUAUUGCAUGAUAAGUAUAUCAAUGAUAAUUAACGAAGAGCACGUAUCAUACUAUCAACUAUUUUAACCCAUUAGAAGCAAGUACAGUGAUUCAAUGCAUUAACUACUUGUAAGUAAGCAAGGUAGUCAUUUAAAGCAUAAACAUGUCCUUGGAAACGUAAUGGUACAUCAAUCCUUAGUAAUCAUUUACUAUUAUUGUUUAGUAAUUUUAGUUUAUCUAUAAGGACCUACUCAAGGUAGUCCAGCUUGCGCCGCGCCUAAUAGCCCCGUGGUAUUAUACACUCCCCACGGCAAUCCACUUCGGCAUCCAAUCCCGCACGGGCGAGCAAUCUGUCGCGUAGGCCAACUCCGGAGUGCCGGCUUGUAAGGAGCGACCCUCACAAGCAUGUGCGAAAGAGCACAGUGGCAAGCAAGCACGAUCCAUAGUCUUACAGUUCUCAAUCAUCAUGUAUCAAGUAUAUAAGUUCCUAUUCUCGACCAAUAGGUCGGAAUUCAAUCAUAAUGUGACAUACCGGUAUCCACUAAAUUCAGCAACUAUAUAAAACAAUGCAUGUGUAUGUAUCUGUCAUUAGUGUUGAAGCUAGUCAAUACGGAUGCACAACCUAUCAGGUUACAAUUAACCUUCUUGCUCUCUACCUCAUAAAAAUAUGACGGAGACGUUUGAUGUUAUGUAGUUAAUGUGAGAUACCUGGUGUACAGUAGUGAAAGCUUGUCGACAGCUCUGGAGAGUGUCGGGACAAGUCUGAGUCACGUUGGCGCGAAAUAGACGCAAAACGGACUCUGUGCGACGCGAGAGCAGCAUUUAGCAAGAAAUUCUGCAAAUAGCUGUUUUCUGCUUGCUGUACCGGUACAGCCAUAACGGUGUACCGGUACACUGCUCAGGGCUUCACGCAACUUGCUCUCAGGUUGACCUCUGUACCGGUACACGGGCCCGUGUACCGGUACACCAGGGUAGGUAGGAGGACUUUUGGUCUUUUUCCACCUCGUUCGUGUCACCCUUUCUCUCUCUCUCUAUUUAGGCUUGUGUAGAGCUGAGAGAGAGAGAGAGAAUUUUCACUGUCCUUCUUCUCCCCUCUCUCUAGCUUGGACCGUGGGUAAGGAGGAGCUCGGGUAGAGUUCGAGUGUCAUCGACGUCGCGCCGCGGUGCCAUUCGAGUGUGUUUUCAUCGUCGUGGUGCUGCGAGGAGGCUGGAUGAGCAUGGUUUUUCACCGUCCUCGACGUUGUGCCGAUUCUAGAGGGGUUUUCGAGGUGAGUGAUCCAUCGAAAUCACUUCAAUUACUUCAAGCUCCUUCAAUUUCGAGCUAGGAUGUUGUUUUGCAGAAUUUCCGCGUCGACAGUCGGCAUUUCGGCUUGUACGCGACGUAGGAGUGUCGGAUUGCGACGAAAUUUGGUUCGUUGGAUUCAGGACUUCGAGAGGAAUCCACAAAGCCCAAGAUUACAGGAUUUGGUGAAGGUUAUCUUGGUCGAACCCUUAUUUUUACCGUGCUGUUGUUAUACGUGGACAGAAUUGAUGGAUUUUGAUUGUAGAGCUUGGAGUUAGCUCGAUUUCUGGACUUGGAGGAUUUCGAUCGAUCCAGCAGGUUAUUCCGCAGCUGAGGGAGUUCAUUGCUGCCAGGGAUUAGCUCUCGAGGUGGGUUUUCAUCGGGUUUACUCCUAAGUAAAGAUUAGUAAACAUGUAUAGUUUCCGAUUGUUUAUACUUCGUACUCGCUUAAAUUCAUUGAGUAGCGUAUUGGCUGAAAUUUGAAUUUGAAGCAUGUGUGGAAUCUAGUUAAACUAUACGUGUUGGACUUGGAAAUUAAAUUAGGAGAAAACCAGUGAUUUGGACCUGUCACUUGUUUACACUACCUGAUUUAGCUCUAGGAGCCGUUGUAAUUUUGUAUCGUCGCAGUAUCGAGGCGACGGAUACCCUAGGUAGUUUAGCUCUCAGUUACACUCGUGCUGGAAUGCCAAGUGUAUUUUUGCAGUAGCGUUCAGGCUGUUCCGGGCUGUUGGGUGCUGUCGAGGUUGACGGUGAACCCAUAUCGCCUUUUUGGCGUCGGAUUAUGCCGAGGGCACGUGACUGUUGGUUGUUAGACCAGUUAGUGUCGGUUACUUGGACUUUGGCUUGAGAGAGCCUGAUUGAGCUCGACAGAGAUACGCUGCAUACUCGGUUGGGUAGCUCCCACGAGUGCCACUCCGGAGAUGGGCAUUGUGCUUUCGCGUUGGUGUCGUGCAUGCCGGUUAGACUUGCUCUCCACGGACUGGAUAGUGUGGAGGUAGCUGGAUAGUCUCAACUGGGCGGGACGGGUGUGUUCACAGUCCCUAGAACGGGUAUGUUUACAGUCUCUAAAGAGAUUGGGUCAGAAUUGACAUUUCUACAGUAGGUUAGCUUAGAGCAUGAUAGUGUAAUAAAUGGUAGCUGUAGAUUUUAUUCCAGCAUUUAUUAUUACCUUUGCUUCCUUCUGUAGACUUAGUGGGUGGACCGAUGAUGUUGAGGGCGGCACCUACUGAGGACUACUUGUUUUUACAGUAGUUCUCACGUCCUGUUGUUACCCCGUUUUUGCAGAGUCAUCGUCUUCGGCUGCUGCUGUUGCUGAUCAGGAUCGAGGCAAGGGCGUCGCAAGUUAGAGCCCUACCCGACGAGCCAAGCUAGAGGUACCCCUACAGCAAGUAGUUGUUUUUGGUUGUAGUUCAUGUACAUACAGACGUUUAACUCGCCAGUGCGAGUAGUUUUGUAUCUUGGAUUUGGCGUAUGUAUAUGGAACUCGGUUUGUUUGAUUACUGGUUCUUCUAGCAACUCUAUACUACUGUUUGUAGUAUUGUAUGAUUUACAGGUACAGCUAUCGCUGCGUAUAUAGAGAAAAUUUCUUUGUAUACGGCGGAUUUGUCGGCGCGCCCGGGAAACGAGUAAUCCGGGACGUGACAGUUAAACUGAGUCUUACUAUCACUACGCACAAUUCCCUCUACAUUACAAAGGUUUCAUUCAAUUAGAGAAGAUAAACGUAUGUAUGGCAUCUUUUACUCUUUAUCCCGUGCACAUUCACAUAAGUGCAUACAACUAGUAGUUCUAUAGUAUCAUACAGAACAUAGAGGGAAAUCACUUGCUCUGGUAAGAUCAAACCCACCUACUAAUCGAUGUUUCUUGUCGAUCUCACACUGGUAGGCAGUCCAAGUGUUCAGGUUCCUAAUUCACAAAUCCCGAUCAGCUAUAAGCUGAAUUUAGAUACCGAUAGUAAAACCUUACCUAUUCCCCGAAUAAGUAGCAAUUACUUACAUAGUUUUAAAAGGUAGUUGAGUUUACUCUUCAACGUAGAUAGAGGCCCCCAAACUCAGCUUAAACCUGUUCAAGUGAGUCCCGAAUUCAGCUCAAUCAGGUCGUAAUCCUGCUGUAACUUAAUUAUAAAGCUGCAUUAAAACUGGUAUCAAACAUCGAAACUUAGCAAUAAUCUCACCUUGUACAAGACCCCAGCUUGAACUGUUUUGGGUUCAAUUUAGUCCACCAAUUUAACCUCCGAAAGUUUCCAAAUGUUAGUCAAGAAUCAUCCGACGAUCUGUGGCAAACCUGCUGCCAACUAUCACCAAAACAGCAUCAACAUACUUGUAUAACUACAUUAUUUAGUCAGAAUCUUACUUGAUCAAACUUCCAAUCAGGAGUUCUACUUACCAUACACUGAAGUACCUUCCUAAUCAAUCCAUAAGAUCACGAUCUCAGCUCAAAGUAAUACUUGUAGUUGCUGUUCACAAUAGCUUCAAAAUCAACACUACUAUCCAAUACUAACCUUGAUAUAGCAUCAAAAUAGAGUAAUUAGUUAACUAAUUACCUUGCUCAACCCUUACUUCCAUUCUUCCCUGUUCUAUUGUAAAGUAAUUACAGUAAAAGAGCUCUCCUCUAGCUGCUGGAACCUCUCCGAACCUCGGCUGGCAGCAAGAACCAAAUCCUACUUAGCUCUAUUAUUAUGCCUCAAACUAGAUAGUAAAUAAGUAAUUUACCUCCCCAAAGCCUCAUCCUGCAAGAACAAGGUUCAAGGUUGCGAAAUACUCUUUAAAACUCCUUCUUUUUCCUUCCACAGCAGCUCCAAACCACUCCUUGCUAGUAAACAACAAGCAAAGAGGAGAAUCAAGCUUAAACCCUUGAUUCCUUGUAGAGAGAGAAGUUCCUAGAGUGAGAGGGGGAGAGAGAGAAGCCAAACCCUACUCCUGAACUCCCAGCACCCUUGGGUAGCUUCAGGAGUCGAGCUGAGACUUAAGAGGAUAAGCACAAGAGCCCAAAAGACCAAAUGACCCCUGCUGCCACGCACCUGCUGACUCUGCUGCUUGUUGUACCGGUACAACAUUAUGUUUGUACCAGUACACUAAUGCAAAAAAUGCCAAACUCGAAAUGGCAAUACACUUUCUUGUCUCCAAUAAUCCGAUCACUUCCAAACUUAUCCGUAACCAUCUUUAAAGUCUUUAAAACAUGUAGGGAGGUUCCAAAUGUCAUUCCCCCUUACUUGAACUUCGCAAUUGCUAAAGUUCAGUAUACUACACAGUUGUUACCACUAUUUUUGCAGAGCCAUCGCCUUCGGCUGCUGCUGUUAUCGAUCUUGAUUGUGGCAAGGGCGUCGCGAGUUAGAGCCCUUCCAGACGAGUCGCAGAGCUAGAGGAGCACGAGCUACAGGUAGUUGUAGUUUUUCGGUCUUUACAUACAGUUGUUGUAUCUCGCCAGAGCGAGUAUUUGUUUGCCCUAGAUGACAUGUAUGUAUUGAACCACGGUUUUUAUAUAUGGUUUAUUUUCCUAGCUGCUCUAUACUACUAUCUGUAGUAUUGUAUGAUUACAGGUACUUCUACUUUUCGUUUCGUAUAUAGAAAAAAUACCUAUGUAUACGGCGGGUCUGUUAGCGAGCCCGGGGAAACGUGUAAUCCGGGGCGUGGCAGCAGCGGUGGCCGCGGAGGGAGGAAUUCUACACUGCCACACUUGCACCACGUCAUCAAUAACAAGCCAAUCACAUUCCUUCUUUUCAAACAAAAGUACAAUAAAAAUACUUUUUUACAAUCAUGAUGGGACAUAUUCUUAAAAGGAUUAAUUUGAUUGGUUUGUUACGCCACAUCACUAAUAUACCCGUUGCAUUCUAGAAUUUUUCCCGCGGAGGAGGAUGAGAGGAGGAGGAGGUGGUGGCGGUGGAAGGAGUGGAGCUCGGAGAGUAUAUAUGAGGGCACAGACGAGAAGACGGGAGAUGGUGCAAUUUUGUCUAAUACUAAGUUAUACUAUUUGAGACAAACUUAUAAUUAAUGGUAUAAUUUUGUCCCAAACGGUACAACUUAUUCUUUGUUAGUGCAACUUUCGUCUUAAGUAGUGUAAUUUUAUUUUUUUCUCUUCUCUUUUUUUUUUCUUAAAUCAUGUAAUUUAGUCUCAAACAGUACAAUUUAAUCUAAAAAUAAUGCAACUCUUUUUAUAUAGUGCAAAUUUGUUUCAUAUGGUGCAAUUUAUUUUCAAAUAGUGCAAUUUGGUCUCAAACAAUGCAAUUUUGUUUUCUUCUUCUCUCUUCUUUAUUUGAAACGGGCAUAACACAUGAUGAUUUUUUCAAGAGAAAUUUUUUUUAUUUGUUUUUUAUUUUGUUUCUUUCAUCCGAUGCAUCAUUUUUUGUUAUCGCAUCUCCUCCCUUGCCCACAGUCGCCGCCGCCUCCACCCUAACACGCUCUCCCGCUCCGUCGUCCUUAAAACCUGGGGGACCCUCAUCACUGUCACCGUCACUAUUCGUGGCCAUAUAGUCCACCGCAUCACGAUAUGUGCCAUAUCCGAGCUAGCGUCGGCGGAGAUGCAAACAAAGUAAGAGAGAGGAGCGCGACGUUGACGUUAGGGUGGUGGAAGAGGAAGACAAAUAAGAGAAAAUGGAAGGAGAAAGAAAGGAAGAAACGACGAUGAAGAAGAAGACGAAUUGUAUGGAAAAAGACAAGCGUAAAAAACAAGGGUAAAUUUCAAAUACCAUCCCGGUGGUUUCGUACUUUCUCACUUUAGUACCCUGUAGUUUAAAGUGUAUUAAUUUCGUACCUUGUGGUUUCACUUUUCUCUUUUCGUCAACUCCUCCGUUAACAUUUCGUUAAAUUAUAUAAAAAAAAAAACUUCGGAUACCCUGCCUAGGUUUAUCGAAUAUUCACUUUAAUAUCUUUUUGUUCACUGAUUUAAUAAAAAAAAAUUAGUGGAGGGGAUAAUAAAAAGAGAAAAAUGAAACCAUGGGAUACAAAAUUAAUACAUUUUUAACCACAGAGUAUUAAAGUGAAAAAGUGAGAAACCACAGAGGUGGUAUUUGAAGUUUUUUCAAAAAUAAGAAGAGAAAGAAGAAUAAGGAUAUUUUUAUCAAUUUAUUAAAAAUUUGAAUCAAAUUUAUGAAAUUAAAAACAGCGGCAUAUUUUUAUAAAAUCUCAAAAUCAAUAAAUUUUUUUUUUUUUGUAAAUUGGCAACUAACUUUCUUAGCAUUUAAUAUUUUUUACUAUUUAAUAUUUAUCCUUUCGCACUAUAGUAUUACUAGGCUCUGCCAUUUCAAGCACUAGUAACUCAGAUUCGAACUGACCUGUUUCCCUGUCUUACUCCUGACUUCUGGGACCCAUCCCACAGUCUCCUCAACUAAUUCGUAGGCUGAUGAGCUGCACGUAGGGACAAAAUACUACCUAGGGGAGGCUUUGCAAUUGGGAAAAGGAGACUAAUUGAAUAUCACUUUUAUUCACACUAGUUUAGGCCCCGGACCGACAAUAUUUCAGUUAAUUAAUAUAUAUAAUUAUUAAAAUUUUAAAAUUAAAAAAUAUAAUAAGAAAUAAAAAAAAUUUAUAUAGUAUUCUAUAUAUUAUAGAGCUAUUCUUUUUUUAUUAAUAUUUUUUAACUUUCAUUAUUUGUAGAGUUAAAAUAUUCAAAUAACUUUAUCUAAAAAUUCAAUCAAACUUAGUAGUUUUACUAGCUAUUUUGUAGAUAAAUUUUUAAUUAAAAUGUUAAAAUUAGAGGACCUAUUCUAAAUUGCAAAUAUAUUGUAUUAUCCUAAUCUAGUUAACAUGGAUUGGAGAAAAAAGAUAUUAUUAUAUGCACCUGGUGUAUAUUAACACACCAUACACCGCAACUUAUAUUAAAGGACUAAUUUUUAAUAUUGAAACUUAAUUAAAUAUAUCUAAAUUACAAAGUCUAAUAAUUUAAAUAUAUUUACUAAAUUAAAUUUUAAAAUCUCGAUUAAAUAUUUUAAUAUGUGGUGUAUGUUUUUAUAUACAUCCGGUAUAGAGAAUGCUUAAUAAAGUGCAUUCAUAGUUCCAAGAAAAAUAGGAGAAAACUUUACUUAUAUCUAAUGUACACUAAUAUUUCAAACACCAUAAAAGUAUAUUAGAUGAUUGAUAGAAUAUCUGAUAAUUAAUAUUAAAAAUUUUUGUGAUCUAAUGAAACUGUCAAAUUAUAUAUCUUAUAUAUUUUAAAAUAUUAACAAUAAAAAGAGACUUGGUGCAUGUGAUAUUUUAAUAGACCGGAUGCAUGCAAUAUUGUUGAAGUAGAGGAGAGAGAGGAAAGAGAACACGUGUCGCUCCGAGGGCUUCUGAUGUGACCCAACUGUCAAAAUUUUUGUGAUCUAAUGGAACUGUCAAAUUAUAUUUCUUAUAUAUUUUAAAAUAUUAACAAUAAAAAGAGACUUGGUGCAUGUGAUAUUUUAAUAGACCGGAUGCAUGCAAUAUUGUUGAAGUAGGGGAGAGAGAGGAAAGAGAACACGUGUCACUCCGAGGGCUUCUGUGACCCAAUUGUCAAAUUAAUAUAUCUAUAGAUAAUUAUUAAAAUUUUAAAAUAAAAAAAUUAUAACAAAAUAAUAAAAUUAUAAAAUAGUGUUAUAUACAUUAAAAAAAAACUUUUACAUUAAUAUUUUCUUAAUUUUGAGUAGUUACAUUAUUUUAAUAAUUUUAUUUAUAAAUUAAUCAAAUUUAAUAGUUUUGAAAAUGGUUCUAUAAAUAACUAUUUUAACUAAAAAGUUAAAAUUGAGAAAUUUAUUGCUAAUUGCCAUAAAGUCGAAGAUGUCUUUACCUUAUUAAAAUUGAUUGAAAAAAUUUUUUCCUACAUGCACAUGAUAUAUAGUAACAUUUUAUACACCACAACUUAUAUUAGAUGAUAAAUAUUUUGAUAUCAAAACUUAAUUAAACAUAUAUGACCUACAAAGUUAAUAAUUUAAAUUUUAUUUAAUGAAUUAGAUUUUAAAGUAAAAAAUAAUGAAUAAAAAGAGUCGAAGGAUAAAAAAAAAUACAAUAAAGAAAUUUAAAAUGAAAUAACAGCUACAACAGUAAAAAUUUAAGAAGUACUUAAAAAAAAGAAAAAACAUAUAAAAAGAAUUAUAUUUAUAGUAGCAGUAAGAAUUGAAAAUUAAAAUAUCAUAUAUCUCAUAAUUUGAGUCGGAAAUUGUAACUAAUUAACAUUUAAGAUCUAAAAUAUCGUGUCCCUUUUUGAAUAUUUCAGAAGAUUUUGAAUGUAAAAUUGAUUGCUUAUAAAACUAUAAAUAUAGUAUUGAAGUAUAAUAUUAAAACCAAAGGGAUCAUUUUGAAUCGAUUAUUUUACUUUUCAAAAUUUUUAUUUUAUUAUUUAAUCUUUUAAUUUAUUUGAUUUGAGUCAAUCAACGAUAUUUUAACUUUAAAUUUUGAAUACAUCAUUUAUUUUUACAAAUUCAGUUAAUAUAUUUCAUACAAUUAUCGUAAUUUUAAAUUUACUAAAGUAAGUAAUUAAAUUAAACUCUAUCAAUCUCUCUUUUAAUUUUUAUUGUACAACUUAUUUUUAAGUGAUAAAUAUUAUAAAAUUAAAAUUUAUAUUUAAUAUAUGUAAUUUUAGUUAUAUAAAAAAUUAUGUGCAAAAUUUAUAGAUUAUAUAAUUUAAAUGAGAGAGAGAGAGAAAAGAAUUAGAGGGAAAAAAAAAAAUCCCACCCAAGCCACCCGCGCCCGCUGGCUUGCGCCGACCCGCCCCCGCGUCCUCUCGCGCCCCUCAAGCGUGCCCGCGCUUGCGCCCGUCCAUGCUGCCACGUGGAGCUAUCUGAGAAAUCAACUUUUAUUAUAUCUAUAGAUAUAUUUUAUACAUAUUUUAAUUAUUAAAUGCAAAAAAUCUGCUUUGAAUAAUUAAACACUAGGGUUGAAUAAGAGGGGGAACCUAGGGUCUUUUUUUGGAUAUAUUAGACUAAAAACAAAUUUCAUUUGUGUUUUAAAGCUUUAUAAAAUUAUAUUUAAGAUAAGCAAUUAAAAUGGCAAUGUAAUUAAUAACUUCAAUUAAGGAGAAGAACUUAUUAAACUAUUUAAUAAAAUUUUUUAAAAAUUGUUAUCAAAAUUAAAGUGCAUUUUUAUAUUUUUCUUUUUCCCUUUCAAAAUGAUAGCGUGUAUAGGUUCCAAUUUUCUUUUUCUCUUUUAAAUUGAUAUGCUUUUACGAGAUAACUAGAACUUAGAUUUCACAACUUUGAAGCAGGAUAAUGACAAGGGAAGUUUGCUUGUUUCAUCCAUUUAAGUAUUAGAAAUGCUACCCAUAUACGGCAUUGUAUAAAUGUAAAGUUUACGAAUUUUUGUGGUUUAUAUUUUUUUAAUAAAAUUUACGAGGGCUUCCGAAUGGCCAAUUUGCAUAAAAAAUCCACUAAUUAUGGGCUUUUGCAAAAGUGGGUCAUCUUUUUCGUUUUUACAGAUUCGAUUCGAUUUUUCAGCAAACUGACCAAAAUAUCCUUAUACCUUUUUCUCUCUUCUCUUUUUUUUUUUUUCUCUCAUUCUUUUUUUCUUUCUCUUCUCGGAGAACGUCGCCCUCGCCCGCUCCGGCCACGUCGCGGGCGACGAGCCCGCCUCCCCCACCUCGGCCUCUCCCCCAACCCUUCCUCCUACCGCACCCUCGCCCAGGCCUUUUGCCGUCGUGGCCAGGCCCGCUCCGCCGCCUCCCUGCUCGACGACAUGCUCCACCGCGGCCUCCUUCCUUCUCCUUCUUCGUCGGCGCUUCAACGCGAGACCACGACGGAGGGAUGUGGACUCGGCUCAGAACUAGUCGGAGUCGCAGGGGAGGAGCGCGGAGAGGUGGGCGGCGCCGUCGAGCCGCGCGGUGAGCUCGCAGUUCUCAGCGCGAGGCGGCUUCAGAGCUCCUCGAGAUGGAAGAUGGAGGAAGAAAAAAAAAAGAAUAAACCGAGGGGAAGAAGGAGGAAGGAAAAAAAAGAGAAUAAACCGAGGAAAAGAAGGAGGAAGAAGAAGAGAAUAAAAAAUGAUAUAAAUUUUACCCAAAUAGUACAACGUUCGCCUAAAAGAGACAGUGGAGUCGGCGGGGCUGCGGGAGGGGCAGAGCGCGGGGAUCGACGAGGGGUGCGGGGCGUCGGGGCCGGAGGAGCGGCGGCCGGAGUCGGUGGCGCGGCACUGGCGCAUGCGAGGCGGCAGACAUGGCGGGCGACGAGGAGGUUGGCGCCGUUAAAAUUAAAUUACACUGUUAAUAAUAAAUUGCACUAUUUUAAAAAAAAUUAUACUAUUUAAGGUAAAUGUUACACUCCUUAAAAUAAAAAUUACCCUGUUUGAAACAAAAAUUACACAAUUUCGCCCAAAUUUACACCAUUUCGUCAAAUUUUACACAAUUUCGCCCAAAAUUGCACUAUUUCUCCUUUUUCUCCUCUUCCUCUUCCUUCUUAUUUUUUACACCAUUACACCAUUACAUCGUAACAACAAAAAUCUUCUAAAAACCGAGCCGGAUUCGCCUACGGCACCGACUCGCCCCAUCCCUCCUUUGCCUCCUUCGCCACUUCCGUUCGAGCACGAGAACGAGCGCGAGCGCGAGUGAUCCCCGUAUCGCGCGUGCAGCCGCGGAGCUUCGCGGCGCACGACAGCGUCACCCCAUAUCGGGCUAUGCCUAUCCUGGUCGAGAGCGCCGCGGCGGGGACACGGGAGCUCGACGACGACGACGCUGACGCCGAGGACGUUGUCGUUAGCGUCGGCGGCGGAGGAGGGGGCAGAGGCGGGGGCGGAGGGGGAGGGGCAGGUCGGCGGGGAGGCCGCGGUGGAGCAUGUCGUGGAGUAAGGAGGCCGCCGACUCAGCCCAUCCCUCCUCUGCCGCCUUCGCCACUCCCGUUCGAGCACGAUAAUUUCUCGCGCGUGCCGUUGCGAAGCUUCGCGGCACACGACAGCGCCCAUCUAGGGCUAUGCCUAUUCGGCUCGAGAGCACCGCGGCAGGGACGCAAGAGCUUGACGACGACGACGUUGACGCCGAGGACGUCGUCAUCGGCGUCGGCGCUGGAGGAGGGGGCGGAGGCGGGGGUAGAGAGGGAGGGGCAGGGGGGUCGGCGGGGCGGCAGGAAGGGCAGAGAGAGGGGAUCGACAGGGGGUGCGGGGCGCCAGGGCCGGAGAAGUGGCGACCGGAGUCGGCAGCGCGGCACGAGGCACAGGCGAGGCGGCGAUGGGGAGGGCGGACGGUGCGGAAAAAGAGGAAAACAUAGAGAAGAAAAAAAAAGGAGAGAGAAAAAAGAAGGGAGAGAAAGAAAAGGAAGAAGGGUAUUUUCGUCCGAUGGUAAAAAAUUCAAUCUGAAUCUGCAAAAUUGAAAAAGGUGACCCAGUUUUGCAAAAGCCCAAAAUUAGUGAAUUUUUUAUGCAAAUUGGCCCUUCCUAAUUAUAAAAGAAAUGCAUAAAUACCUCUCAAUGAAAAAUACUAUCUAUGCAUCUCAUUUUAGGUGUAUAUCUUAUACCCUACAGAUCUAAUGGAUGGGAUAUUCCCACCAGUCAAAUCAAGAUGAUCAAUAGAUAAAUCCCACACAUCUAAUAGAUAGGGUGUAGAAUUUGCAUCCACUUUUUAAAUCUUCUAUAUUUUAUUUUUUAUUUUUUUAUUUUUUUAUUUUCUGCAUCUUUUCUCCUUAAUUCCGCUCUCACCCGCUCUCGCUCCAAGUCCUCCUUCUCUGGUGCCGGUGUCGGUGUCUGCGCCGGUGAAAGCGGAGGAAGAGGAUGCGAUACUAUCUUCGUUAUCGUCGUGGAUGGUUGUGGAGGCGGUAGAGGAGGGUUGAAGAAAAAAAACAAACGAGGGAAAAGAAGGAGAGGAAGAGAACUAGCGUUACCCUCUUUACUAUGGUAAAGAGCCGGGGAAGCGGUUGAGGAGGGUCGAAGAGAAAAAAAAGAAAAAAGAAAAAAGAAGAAGGUCACGGUACGGCUUUAGUGGAGUCGGAGGCGAGGAAGGCGGGGGGGUGAACGGGUGAGGGUGAGGGUGCGCGGGACAGAGGUGAGGCAUGCCGCCUCCGCCUCUGCUGCCUUCUUUGGAGAGAAAUAAAAAAAGAACGAAAGAAAAAAAGAAGAGAGAAAAUAAAACAAGGGUAUUUUAGUCAGUUUAUUAAAAAUUCAGUCUGAAUUUGUAAAAUUAAAAAGGCAGCCUAUUUUUGCAAAAGGUCAAAACUAGCAGAUUUUUUAUGCAAAUUGGCCCAAAAGAAACGAACGAGAAAAAAAAAGAAAAAAAAAGGGUAUUUUGGUCAGUAUGCUAAAAAUUCGGAUGGCAUCUACAAAAUGUAAAGUAGUGGUUCAUUUUUAUAAAACUUAGAAUUAAUAUAGGCUAAAUUACAGAAAACCUCCCUGUCAAUACCCGCUUUUUCACUUCCCCUGUCAUUUAAAAACCUACACUUUGCCCCCUUAAAAAAUGAGAAAUGUUCACAAGAGGUACACCGUGACAAAAUAAUCAAAAUGCCCCUCAACAUCUUCGUCUUCUCUCCCUACCUCUCUCAGUCAUCACCCCUCAUCAUCUUCGUCUCUCCCUACCUCUCUCAGUCGUCGCCCCUCAUCUUCCGUUCUUCGCGCCUCGCUCAACCGCAGCUCCGAUUCCAUUUUCCUCCACAUGCUCCCUCGCACUUCCUGCACUCGCGUUGCCCCUCUAUUUCGGCGAUGAUAGGGAGGAGAUUGGAGUGGGCAUGGACGGAGAGGCGUGUGAGGGCGAGGGCGAGAUGGCGAAGGAGCGCGAGAGCAUGCGUGUGGACGCGAAUGGAGGGGUGGGCCAGGGCGAGGCGGCGGUGUAGGGCGAGGCUGCGGUGUAGGGCGGCGAGGAAAGAGGCGGCAGCAAGGAGAGGGUAUUUUGGAUAUAAAAAAUAUAUAAUAAUAGAAUAUAAAUGGAACCCUAACGGAAUACUGACGGCGGGGGGUCAAAGUAAACAAUUCUCAUUUUUCAAGGGAGAAAGUAUUGAUUUUUAAAUAAUAGGGGGGAAAGUGAAAAAAUGAAUAUUGACAAGAAAAUUUUCUGUAAUUUAGCCAUUAAUAUAAUUUUAUGCAAAAAUGCCAUAAAUAAAAGCUCAAAAAAAUAAAAAUUGAGAUGUGUUUAUGAAAAAAUAAAAUUUGAAAAGUCUAUAUGAAAGUAGCCUGUAGCUAGCACUAGCAGAGGAGGUCUCCGUACAUUUGCAUCUAUGAUACUCGUUACUACGCUCCGUCAUUUCAAGCAGGGACCCAACAGAUCUACUACCCCGGUCUCAGAUUUCCUGUCGGAUUUGUGCUGCCAUUCUACCCACUUUUCCAUGAACCAGAUAUCCUUCCGGUUAUUCACUUAUUUGUCGCUUCUACAGAAGUUUUUACAGAUGUCUAAAUAUGGGUAAAAAUGUCUAAAAUUUAUCCAAACUUUAUAUCAUUUUGAUUCGAAUAUUAAAUAUUUCAAAUUUUAAUUUUGAGCGUCCAAUCUUCUAAUUUAUUUGAUUUUUAUAUUCAAUUUUUUAGUGUAUUUAAUAAUUUAAAUAAUUUGAUAAUUUUCAGGUCUGAAAUUUAAACUAAUUACUUAUUUCAAUUAAUUUAUAGUUAUAUAAAUUAUAGAAGAUAUAUUAUAAUAAAAAAAUUUUAAAUUAAAGAGUUAUUAUUUGCCUCAAAUCAAAUAAAUUAAAAGGUCAAGGAAUAAAAUCAAAAUUUUUAAAGGUUAGAUAGUCAAAUCCAAAUGGCUAAUAGUUGAAAUAAGUUUUAAUGUAUGUGUAAACUUUAAUUUAUUUAUAGUUUAUUGUAUUUUUAUUUUAUCAUAUUGCUUUUUAAAAAGUUGCAGUAUAUUAUCCUAUAAUUUUAUUUAUUUUGUUUUUUUUUAGUAUAAAAUUAUAAUUUUUAUUUUAUACUAUAAUUAUAAUUUUAUACUAGCCUUUAAAAAUUUUGAUUUUAUUCCUUGACCUUUUAAUUUAUUUUAUACUAUAACUAUAAAUCCUAGUAUAAUUUUAUACUAGCUUAAAUUCAACUAGCCUUUAAAAAUUUAAGCUAAUUGAAAUAAGUAAUUAGCUUAAAUUCAACUAGUAUAAAAUUAUAGUAUAAAAUUAUAUAAAUAAAAUUUUUUAAAUUCAAUUAGGAUUUGAAUUUGGGCUUUGGAUACCAACCUCUAAAUCCUUUGCCACUUGCUUUAGGGACGGCCGGUUUGGGGAGAAAAUAGUUAGUGACAAAUGUCUUUGGGAAUAAUAUAGAAGAUGUGUGAGAUCCCUGGUGUUCAGCUGUGGAGGCUUGCCGACAGCUCUGGAGAGUGUCGGGACAAGUCCGAGUCGCGUUAGCGUCAAAUAGACGUAAAACGGACUCCGUGCGACGCGAGGGCAGCUUAUAGCGAAGAAAUUUGCAAAACUGCAGAUUUCUCUGCUUGCUGUACCGGUACAACCAGCGUGGCUGUACCGGUACAACCAUCGCGCAGAGGCUUAACAGCUCUCGGGUUCGCUCUUGUACCGGUACAAGAGCCCGUGUACCAGUACAAGGAGGUAGGUGGAGGGUUAAUUUGGUAAUUCCCUCCCUCGUUUGUAUCACCCCUCACUCCCCUCUAUAUAGCUUCGUGUAGAGAGAGGGAGAAGCCUUCUUGCUGCUUUUCUCCAUCUCUCUCUCACUCUCAUCCGGUUGAAGGCAAGGUGGAGUUCGGAGUUCGUCGUCGACGUCGCGCCGCGGAGCCGUUCGGGGAUACGGUUGUUGCCGGAGCUUUGCGAGGAGGCCGGGCGAGGGUGCGUCUUCCCUGUUCUUGACGUCGCGCCGGUGCUAGUCGCUGUCGAGGUGAGCGUUCCAUUGCAAUUACUUCAAGUGCUUCAAGUAUCAUCAAGUUGAGCUUAAGUGCUGUUUUACUGUUUUUCGCCGUCGACCGUUGGUAUUUCAGCUCGUACUCGGCGUAGGAGCAUCGGAUUUCGACAGGGCUUGGUUCGUUGGAUUCGGGACUUCGAGAGGAAUCCACGAAGCCCUUACUUGCUGGAUUUGGUGAAGGUUAGCUUGGACGAAUCUCUGUUGAACCUCACUGUUAUAAUUUCUGGACUGAAACGGUGACUUGUGUUGUGUAGAGCGUAGAGUUAGCUCGAUUCUGGACUCGGCGGAUUUUGGUUGAUCCAGCAGGUCGCUCUACACCUGAGGGAGUCCUUCGCUGCCAGGGAUUAGCUUCGAGGUGGGUUAUAUCGGUUUUGGCUCCUAAGUUCAUAAUCGUCGACAUGUAUAGACUUUGAUUUUUGGAUACUCUAUUCUAGCUCGAAUUCAUGGAUUUUAUUGUAAAUUGCAAAUCUGAAUUUGGAGCAUGUAGUAAUAAAUUGAGUAGAUUAUACAUGUUGGACUUGGAAUUUGAAUUAGGAGAAAACCUGCGUUUUGGACCUGUCACAUGUUUAAACUGCCUGAUUUAGCUCUAGGAGCCGAUAUUAAAUGGUACUGUCGCAGUAUCUUCGAGACGAGUACUUCAGGUAGUUUAGAAUAUAUUUUCGCUCGUGCUGGUGUGCUGAGUGGAUUUUUACAGGGUCGUUCAGGUUGUUCCGGACUGUUGGGUGCCGUCAGAGUUGACGGUGGACCCGUAUCGCCUUUUUGGCGUCAGAUUGUGCUGAGGGCACGUUACUUGUUAGUUAUUAGACCAGUUUGAGUUGGUUACUUGACUUUGGCUUCUCAGAGUCUGUUUGAGCUCGACAGAGAUAUGCUGCAUACUCGUUUGGGUAGCGCCCACGAGUGCCACUCCGGAGUCAGGCUUUGUGCUUUCGCGUUGGUGUCGCUCAUGCCAGUUGGACAUGCUCUCCACGGACCAGUUAGUGUGGAUAGAGCUUGAUAGUCGCAACGGGGCAGUGACGGGUGUAUUCACAGUCCCGGGGACGGGUAUGCUUACAGUCCCGAUUGGAUUGGGUCAGAGUUGACAUUUCCUACAGUGGGUUAGUGUAGAGCAUGAUAGUGUAGUGAUCGAUAGCGGUAGAGUUUAUUUCCUGCUUUUCUGACUACUCUUGCUCCCUUCUGUAGACUUGGUGGGUGGACCGAUGUCGUUUUGGGCGGUACCCACUGAGGACUACUUGCUUUUACAGUAGUUCUCACGCCCAGUUGUUACCUAUGUUUUUGUAGAGCCACAGGUUCCGGCUGCUGCACCGUCCGCGGACCAGGAUCGAGGCAAGGGCGUCGCGAGUUAGAGCCCUACCCGACGUGCUGAGCUAGAGGUGCCCUACUGCAGGUAGAUGUUUUGUUUCGAGUUUAUGUACAUAGUUGACUUAACUCGCCAGUGCGAGUAGCUCUGUAUUUUGGAUCUGAACUAUGUAUAUGAAACUCUGUUUUAUUUAGCUUCUGUUUUCUCUAGCAGCUCUCUACUACUGUUCGUAGUAGUGUUUGAUUUACAGGUACAGCUAUCGCUUCGUAUACAGGGAAAAUUUCUUUGUAUACGGCGGAUUUGUCGGCGUGCCCGGGGACGUGUAACGUGACAAGAUGCCAAUAAAAAUAAAUUUAAAAUUAAUAUAGAAAUUAGUAAUGAAAUAAUAGCUCUACAGAGUUAUUUUUAGGAAAAUAGGAUAUUGUGGCAAAAAAAAAAUAGCACUAAAACAUAAAAUUAACUACUUUUGGAAGGUAUCCAGCCAAAUUACCCUUCAACAGAAAAAAAAAAAAAACACUAAAUCCACAACACAAAAAGGUUGAAAUCUUAUAGCUCUCUAUCUAAGAGUGAAGCAACUUUUAAUUUUUAAAAUUAUAAAAGAAGAUAAAAAUACUAUAGAAUUUGCACCAACUAUAGACCAUUUUAAAUCGACUAACUAUUUUUUUUUUUAAAUUUUGAUUUCACUAGUGAAAAUUUUAAUUUAUUUAAUUUAAAUCAGUCAAUAAUAUUUUGACUUCAAAAUGUAAGUCAAUUACUUAUUCAAUAAAUUUAUAGUUGUGAGAAUCGCAUAAAAUAUACUAACUAAAUGAGUAAAAAUAGACGACAUAUUUAAAUUUUAAAGUAAAAAAUACUAUGAUGUGAUUCAAAUAAAACAAAAUAAAAAGUUGGUUAGUAAGGUCAAAAUUUUGAACGAUCAAAUAGCUGACUCAAAAUGAUUCAGAGUUCAGAUAAAUUCUAUAUAUUUUUAUCUUAAAAAAAUAAUAGUACUAGUACAUUCCAAAAUGGGUUAUUGUCACGCCCCGGGGCCGAUUUAAAAGCCAUUACCAUUUUUUUAAAACUCAGAGUCGCGGAAGAUGUACCAAAUUUUUUUUUUUGAAAAACCUGGCCCACGUGACGUACAGACCCGCCACAAAUACAAAGUUCCUCUGUCCACUCGGGCAGAGUCUCCUUUGUAUCUGCACGGCGUACCAACGGUUACAACAGGAUCACAACCACAACCUACAUUACCAAUCAGCAACCAAUUCAUGAUAUGCAUUUCCAUACAGCUAACAAUCCUUAGAAUGAUGCAUGCCUCUAAGCACUCCUUAGGCGCUGGAUGAUGCAAUGCACAAUACAACAACCAUCCUAUUUAAAAGUGCUCCCCACACAGAAACUUUUAUUUUUGAACUCUAAUUCAUUCAUCAUGAAAAACCAUUUGAAAAUCUUUUGAAAACUGUUUUCCACACGGAAACUCUAUUUUGAAAACCGACUACCUCGAGGGGUAGAAAACCACGAUGCGUAAAUCCAUAAAUACAAAUCCGAGAACCACAAAGUAUACAAACAUCCCAAAACUGAAGAUCCAUAAACCAAAUCCACAAUUCCACAAAUCCACAAAUUCAACCAGCUCACAACAUUCAAACAUCAAGUAUGAUCAUCUAACUGAACCAUAUAAACUAACUAAGCUAUAACAACAGAAUAGUAAGGAUAAAAACUAAAUCGAUAACCUGGGUCGGAAGCUCUAUCGACCGCUACGAACGUACCUCACGUCUCGUCCCAAAACUCAACGCCUGCAAUACCUGAAAAAUAGUGGGGGAGGUGAGAACAUGUAAACAUGUCUCCCCUCCCAGUGGGUACCGCAAGCCGAUGAAGGCGAGGAGUACUCACCGGAUCAGGAAGAGCUAAACAACAGUACGGGUCAGUAGAAAAUACAGUAGCAAUAAUAAUGAAUGAAAGAGACAUAUAUAUGAAAGAAAGUACAACUACCGCUACUGUAAUGAACAACUGAAUGUAUACAUGUAACAAGACUAUAGUAGCAAGACAAUGUAACGAAAGAACUGAAGAUAUACAAGUGACCACUGCUACUAUAGUUAUAUGCGUCAACCGGACAAGUAGUCCAAAAGUACCCAAUCUAAACCGCCGUGUCGGUCUAAGGACCUCAGGCAAAAGCCACUACCUGCUCGCACCUGGCAUGUAACCCUAGCACAAAGAGAACACCGCUGGGCUCACGGGUCGGAUGUACGACCACUUUUCCGGAAAAGAACACCCUCCUGCGGGGGAUCAACCCGCUGGUGUACGUGAAAUGCACUCGAGCUGUGGCGAUCAAUGCGGAUAUGAUCAAUAGCCAAAUGUCGGCAACCAGCCGACAAUCACCGCCCCUCGGGGCAAACCGACCAAUAGGUCAUCAAACUAUAUAGAAGCACAAGAAACGACUACUCAGGUCAACUAAGAGGGAACAACUCAACAUCCUACCAAAGGUAUACAAGCACUGACUACUAAAGUCAACUAACACAUAUGCACGACGAACUGACGAAUAGGUCACCAGAGUAUAUCAAUAGAAUCCCGAAUUACCGUCGGCCACUAGCCGACAAUCCAACCCCUCAGGGUACGUCGACCCAAUAGGUCAUCAAACGACAGGACUCACGAAGCUGACUGACUAGGUCACAAGUAUGCCAAAUAGUGGAACUGUGUAAACUAUAAUCAUCCAUCGGUGCUAACCGACAAUCCCACCCCUUAGGGUAUACCGACCUCAAAGGUCAUCGAACGAUGUACGAGAACCGACCAAUCAGGUCACCGAAACGAAGUACGAGAACCGACCAACCAGGUCAACAUAUACGGAAUGCAACAACCAACCAACUAGGUCAACAGAUACGCAUGUAGAUAGAACUACUCUACUCCUACUCAGGAUACUAAGCAUGCAAACAACGAGUAGAGUAUAACGAAUAAACAAGGGUGCAAGGCUCAAUAUAUUAUGCGAUAGUAACAACAGAAGAGUAAGGGUAAGAAACCAUCACCAAGCGCGCACCACUGUACCGACGUCAGAUCGAAGUACCCACCUGUAAGGAUGUCGCGUCUGUCUCCUGACUGCAAAAGAAUGUCGACAGGACCUAUAGAGGGUCCACCGGGUUAGUCUCUAACCCACAACUAAUAAUCACAGUAUCCACAAACCCACAAACAAUUUCAUGAAGAUCGGUUUCCCAAUACCGAUUACCGUAACUCACCGAAAGUCCCGAAAAUCACACCGGGACGCCGUCGGGACCCACUAAGUGUCCCGAAACUCAUCGACUCGUGUCACGAGUCACCUGCUGCCCCAAAACACUCCAAUUUGGAUGUUUUGGCAGCAAACACAAGAUAACACCACCAUACGAUUAUCGCCGGAUAAUCGUACGAAUCCGGGUUUCCGGAAGUGUCUAUUUCGACACUGGAACCCACAGUCGCUCACCGAUCAUCACCAAACCCACAAGAUGAUGUUGGUGACCAGCCAACAAGGCUCGGCGACCAAGCACAGAGCAAACAAACACCGUCGGAAAGAAUCCGAACCGAAAUCGCGUUCUUUCAGCGAAUUUCGCCGAAAAACGCACCGAAAUCGACUUUUUGGUUUCCGUAGGAGCUAACGGAUCAUGGACAAUCAGUCCAGAGGUCAAACACACUCACACACACUGCCCACAGUAGCCACACAAUGCACAAUUGCAUAAAAGGCCCUCAAUUUACAUAAAAUCCUAUCAUUUUAUGUAAUUUGAGCGAUCAAGUGGCUCGUUCACGCAAUCGAGGACUUUCAAAGUCCGCAGAGACACGUACCAACAGGUCUCGACGUACCGGAGGCCGUGCUCACGAUCCGGAGCACAGCGGCUUGCUGUGGAAAGCGCGGGAGCAACCCAAAAGUUCAGCGAAUAGCGCGCAGCCACGAAAAAAACACGCCGAACACUUCUGAUCCAUAAUAAGGUGAGCACCGUGAUCAGCACUGACCAGCGGUCACCGUGCUCACCUCCGGAGGCAUCAGAACAGCCUCGGAUCGCCGAAAAAGUACGCACAACACAGCACAACAGCUAAAGAAAGGCUCCACAGGGUCGACACCGCAAAAACAGCGGAACGGAGUCUCGCCGACAGAAAAUAAGGUGAGCACGAUGAUCAGAAACUUGCCAGGAUCAAGAUCAUCGUGCUCCCUUCCGCAGAGAUCGGGGAGGCUCGGAAAGCCCAGAACAACAAACAGCCCUAAACUAAGCCCUAUUUCGGGCUUGGCCGGAGCAACCUUGCUCCGGUCGGCCUCCGGCGACACGGCGGCGCGCGCGGGGGCCAGGGUGGAGUGCGGGGGUGGUGAGUAACACAGUGCUCACCUCGGUUGGCGGCGGGGAACUGCGACGGCGUCGACGGAGCAAGUUGAGCCCGCACGAGAUCGGGCUCGGGUUCCACGAGUUGCUGCGGCCACGGUGGCCGCCGGGGAGCUCCGGGACGGCGGAGGCGGGCUUCACGGGGCCAAAAGAGUGCCUCGGGUGCGGACCCAAGCGGCGGCGGCGCAGGGGGAGCGUCGCACGCUCGCCUCGGCCAGAGCGGGGCUGGGGCGGCUGCGGCUGGCCGAGGCGGCGACGGCGGCGCACCGGGGAGGCGGCGACCGGCGGGAAGGGGUGCCCGGGCUCCGAGGACGUCGGCGGGAGAGGUCCCAGGCGGUGGCGGCGCGCGGGCAGCAGAUGCAACCCACCUCGGCCAGAGCUCGGCCUGGGUUGUUGCAGACUGCAGGAGCAGCAGCGGCGGCGCGCGCGACGGCGGCGGUCGGCGGGGAUGCUCGCCGGAGCACGGGGCGACGCCGGUGGAGGGUCUGAAGGUGGCGCAGGCCCGAGCCUCCACACAACCCGAGAGGAGAGAGGGAGAGAGAAAGAGAGGGAUAUGGAGGAAAGUGGUGGCUGCCGCGGUGGUUGGCCGGCCGGGGCUCGGUCAGCGGCGGCCAGGGCACGCGUAGCAGGUGCAGAGGAGGUAGAUGGAGGCGGCUGGGGGGGUUGGCUAAGGCUAGGAUUAGGGUUAGAUGGCUCCAAACCCUAGAGAGCUUAAAUACAAAGGUGCAACAUUGCAAAUAAGUCCACCGAACCUCAGUAUUUACAACUGAGUCCCUCACAGCGUGUGUAAAACACGCGAACACCCCUCUACGUGCGAUCCCACGCGAAACGGUACAUAAAAUAUCGCGACUUUUGCGAAAAUACCGUUUUGCCACAACCGACCUCUCCUCGAACAACAUGCAAUUGCCGCAGAUCCGUCCGUCAGAUUUGCGAACGGAUCGCACCAGUGCGAUCAGCACGACGGAGACAACAAAGCUACGAUCUCGUUUCGUCUCGAUCGACCACGGAUUCACGGCAAAAUCCAACCCUUCUACCAAUAGAAGAAAACACACCUAAAUACAUAUAGAAUAUGUAUUUUUGGAUUUUCUCGAAAUCCGUUCGUCGAACUCAAAAUCCGUCAGCGCCAUUAGUUCCAGAACAGCUGAACCGGUCGAAACGAGCUAUUGGACCGCUAGGAACGGAGUCCGAUACGAGCCUGAAGCCAACUUCACACCGUGGCUUCUCCGGAAAAUCGAGUUACUAUUCACUUUAAGUGAAACUUGGAAAUCGCGUAGAAUUUCCGUUUUAACUCGUUUUCGCCCGAAACUUGACGAGUGCUUUUGUAAUUAAAUUACACACAAAAACAUCGUCAACUGAGAGUUUAGCUACACUGCAAAAAUCUCAGUCCUUACAGUUAUAUAUAUAUAGAAUAGGGCUACUGUGUUAUUAGAAAUACAGCAGCCCGUAUAUUCCUAACUAUUCAUCAAUUUUGAUAGGUGAUUAGGGUGAAAGAGAGAAGAAAAAUUAGGGAGAAACAUUUGAAUUUCUCUCCAACUUUUUUUUUUUCUUUCUCAUUUUUGAUAAAUGGUUAGAAAUUUAAGAACACAUGAGUUAUUGUGCUCUUAAUAGUGCAGUAGGUUUAUUUCAUAUUAAUAUGUUACAUCCAUUUUAUCUAAGCAUCAUUAAUUUAGCAUUUAUAGCAUCAAAUUUUUUUUUAUCUUUAAUAAAAAUUAUUUAAAUUUUUGUGAAUUUUAAAAUGAUGGGGCAAUGGGCGUAAAUAAACCUCAGUGUAAUCUGAGUAUAUAAUCCUUUUGUAAUGUAGUGGUAAAAAUUAAAAAAAAAAAGAAAGAAAACGUAGCGCCAUUUAUCUGGAUUUGUUCGUAAACGCUGCUGGUUGCAAGCAGGGGAUUGCUUUCCCGGCAAGCGAGUAAGCGGAUUCCCGUCCGACACCGUUCUCAUCUUUCCAGGCCUUUCCGCAUCGUUCUUCGUUCACCCACUCCUCUCUCUCUCUCUCUCUCUCUCUCUCUCUCAUCCUUCUUUUCCGCCUCCUUUUCGCACUGCGUGUUGACAUGCGACGCAGCAGCAGCUGUUGCGUUACAGCUAGCUAGCUGCUCUGUUCCCAAUUAAUUAAAGAAUUAGUCUCUCGCUGCUGCUGCUGCUGCUGCUGCGAUUUUGAGCGAUGAGUCUGUCGGUUAGGGAGAAGCGCCCGCCGGGCGGUUGCGCCGGCUUCUUGUUCCAGCUCGUCGGCUGGAACCGGCUUCUCGCCCGGAAGAAGCAAAAGCACUUCCCCAGGAAGCUCCUCCCGAAGAAGCACUUCCCCGGCGACCACCAGUCCCCCGUUCCCAACAAGCUGCUUCUGGUACUACGUACUCUCUUAUUAUCCUCCUGCAAAUUGCUAUAUAUGCUUUAAAAAAUCGAUCACCUGUAUGGAUGAAAUGUUUCAGAUAGCGGAAGAGAACUGCGGGGGAUUCCCGAGCGCCAGGAAGAAGCCGCUGCUGGAAGACGCCGACGCCGACGACGGCGACGGCAGCGACGCGAUGCGCCCGGCUGGGCUGGUGGCCCGGCUGAUGGGUUUGGAGUCGAUGCCGGUCGCCGCCAAUGAAAAUCCGCGUAAACCUUUCCGUAAGGUGGGAAAUGCUAGUGGUUGGAGCAGGAAAAGUAGCAGUAAAAUUUCUGAUGGGUAUUGUUGGGUGGCGGACGGAGAUCCCUGCUUGGAAACCUGUGGUGCGGGGAAGGCGGACUCUUCGCGUCCGCCAAAGCUGCAGAAGACGGGUGGGGGGUUGCUGGAGAGGCAGACAGCGAAUGCCGGUGCCAAUGUGGUCGGCAAAACCGUGCUCGUUUCGCGCUCGAGAAGGCGGCAGCACAAGCUUCCGCUGCCCUCGACGAGCCCGAGAUCGCUCUCUGGAGGUCACCGGGCGCGGUUGUUGCAGGCAGCAUGUAAGAUUUUAGAGCCCGGUAUGCGGCCGGCAGCUCACUCUAAAUUUGCUCUCGCCAACGUCGCUUCGUCUUCUUCACAUUGUAAUGCGGAACAAGCAAGCGAUGCGGCUUUAAGCUGGAUAAGCUCUCGGAAUCUCUUGCCGGACUCUUUAGAGCGUAAAACGGAGCCAGCGUUGAUGUUAGAUGACCGGGGUAGCGAUAGGGUUAAUCCUGUUGAAAUUAAGGCCAAUGCAGAGAGAAGAGUUUGCGAUUCAGUGGAAAGGAAGUGCGAAAUACGAAAAGAUAAAGAUCAAUGCAUAGUUCAUAUUAAAGGCAACAAUCUGAGGCCGAUAAAAAAGCCUGCGGUUAACGGCAUAGCUGUCGCUGGAUCAAAAGUAUCCACUCAGAACAAUGGCCGAGGGGUCUUGAAUGAGCCUGCGGGAGCUGAGGAGUUUGGAGCUUUAGCGAGGAACCAAAAGAAUUGCGCAUUGACGAAAUCAGAUGGUAACGGUGCUAGAAGUGAAACUGAGAGGUACGGUAGGGAGAAGAGCAUGACGCGGAAAAGAAGACCAGUCAGCAAUACUCAUUCUAGCAAUUUCGGCAUGGCUAGUUCAGCCCUUGGGAAGCAAUGUGGGAGGGAUCUUAUGGCUAAUCAAAGAGGCAAAGCUUUCAUAAGCAGUAAGCCUGCAAAUAGCGGUUGUGUUGAAAGGGAGGGGAGGAAGAAAGCGGGUAGUGAUGCUAUAAGAAGAACAAAAAAGGAUGAUGUAGUUUCCUUCACCUUCGGUUCACCAAUGAAGCCUUCGACAAAGCCUUCCUCUUACUGUAAAAUGGUCGAGAAGACUCAGGGCAGAAGCAGGCAGAGAAUCGAUGUUUCUCAAAGAAAGGGAUCCGUCUGGGGUGCAAAGAAUGAAAGCACUUCAUCCCAAAGGAUGAUAAAUUUAAGCGGAGAUGAACUUAGCAAACUCUUGGACCAGAAAAUCAGAGAACUAAUUCCUUUUGAUAAGGAUGACUUGGCCACAAUUGGUUCUUCUUCAGAGAGAUUUAUGGAUUCUGUACUCCAAGAGCUUGUUCCUUCCCUCGACACAGAGACACCUAAAUCUCAUCAAAGCGGUCAUAGUUUCUCUGGCGGGUCCACCGCAACUUGUAAUAUUCAUCACAGCUGCGUUGAUUUCUUAGACUAUGAGAUCUUUAAUGAUCAUACACCUGACUCUUGCAAAAACUAUAUGGUCAGUUUAUCAAAUUUUCUACUUGUACCUUUCAACUUGUCUAGCGUCAUAUUUUGUGUUUAACUGUUGGUUAGCUUUCUAAAUCUUUACUUUGAAGUACAUCUACCUAUAUAGUUUUGAAUUUCUGCAGAAGAAUAACUAUUCUUAUUUUAUCUCCCACAUUUUCUGGGAAAAAGAUCUAAUUACAUCGUGCCUGUUCUAAUUACAUCGUGUUGAAAGCCAGUUGUUGGCUUAAAUUUUUCUUGUCACAGAGGGAGCAACAGCUGAUAUAUUAUUUGAACAUAUUUCUGUUAGAUAGCCAUGUGUGGAAGUGAAAGGAUGUUCUGAUAUAGGGCCCGUUUGGCCUGGCAGGGCAGCCCACAAGCGGGCCGCACCGCAGGACUUCUUGAGAAAGCUCCAAAAUCAGAACUUUCUCAAAAAGGGAUCUUUUGCAGUUGCGUGCUGCAAACGCAGGCGCAACCGCAAGGCCAAACGGGUACAUAGUUAGGCUGCCUUUUAUUUUAUAUCCCAGUUUUUCUUUUCCGACUUGGUGUUCUUUUUCAUUAUGAAAAUGUACAUAAUAACAUUGUGGUGAAAGGUUAUUUCAGAUCAUAGAGAAACCGAUAUAUCUAUUCUUUUUAAGAAAAUGGAUAUUCUGAUAAUUGGAUUAGCUUAAUUUCUCAAAGAAUCACUUAUCAUAUAAUAAUCAAGUACAUUUGUAAAAAGAGGAGCUUUCAUAUAAAGUUCUGAAACAAUGAAUCAUAUGAGUUUUAGCAACUUUUAUUAGUCUUAUGUCUUAUGAACAAUUGAUAGUGAUGCAUUCGUAUAGACUGUUGAGCUUAGUAUUAGCUUUUAAAAUGUAAUUAAUUGUUUUAUACCAUCUCAUAUAUAAUUCUAUGCAUAUGAAAAUAAGAUCUAUAGACAGAACGAUCAAGUUCAUGAUAAUAUUACCUUGGACUACUAUGUUUUGAUUUACAUAAUUAUUCUGAUACUUCCAUUUGUUACUUUUUGACAAUGAGGUCUUUUCGUGAUUUUUAACUAGAAAAACCAUUUUUUAAUAUCAGAUUUGUAUUAUUCCACCUUGCUGAUUUGUUUUUGACAUGGUUCUAGUGUGUCUCACUUGGUUGUUGUCUUCUCAGGGAGAUUCCAAAACUGGUUUUUCAGCUGCAUAUCUAACCUGUGAUGUCGAUCAGCCAAGCCCAACAUCAAUCCUUGAGGCAUCCUUUUCAACUGACAGUUGUUCUGUGGGGAGUCCAAAUGACAACCAAGGUAUAAAAUAUUAUUGCUACCUUUUUGAAAGUAGGAAUGAUUUGUUUUGCAUCAAUUUUUCCUUCUCCAUCAUUGCUUUCUACAUUUUUUUUUCCUUUUUGUUGGUUUUGUUGAAUAUCAUAUAGCGCAUACAAUAUUAGGAUGUGUGGUUUUGUUAACUUCAAAUUUCAAAAAUUAUCAUACCAAAUGAAUUGAUUGUGCUUGCUAAGACAAAGUGAAUAUGAUAUAGAUUAACUUCAUGUUUGUUAGAGCCAAGGAUUGCUUGUGCCUCCCUCUGCCGAGUGUGUCAUACCGUGUUGAGGCCCUGCCAACAUGUGGCACAGGGUUGUGCUGAUACCAUAUUGAAAAAUUACUUUUUCUUUAGCUUUUUAGGGUCUUUUUUGAGUUUUUCUUAGAUGAAAAGAUUUAAAAAAGCUUUUUUCUUUUUUAAAUUUUGUACAUCUUGUUGAUUUUCUAAACUGUAGAGCAAUUAUUGUGCUUCAUUCCGUGGCGAUACCAAAUUUUAGUUUGAAAAUUUACCUAAUUUUUUUUCUGAUCGUUUUAGAUCAAGUGAAUUCGCCCAUAUUAGUGUCUUUCUAUGAAAUUUUACGCACUUACAAGUUACAACUUCAUUUUCAUUUUUGUGCUUGUACUUCAUAAUACAUAUAAUAUGAUCUUCUCGAUUAUUAAGAUAUUUAUUUCUUUAAUUCUUACUUAAUUAUUGAGAUAUGCCAUUUGAUCCUUCUUUUAUAACCAUUACAAAAAUUAAUAUGCUCUAAAAUGUUAAUUUUUUUUUUUUAUGAAAUUUUGAUAGAACGUGCCAAUAUGUGCUAAGUCUGCCACUUGUGUGCCACUGGCAUGGAGGGCCAUCCCAAAAUUGGCAUGGGCCGUGCCAAUGUGCUGCCGUGUUGUGCUGAUGGCAUAUAUCGACAUGCCCUAUUGUCACGGGUCUAUUGACUUUUUGUCGAAAAGCCCGCGCGACGCUCAUCUGUCACCUGCACAAACGAGCCAGCCAAACCGUCCCGAGGCACAACUUCGCAAAUUGGCAACGACCGAGAAUUGAGAGCAAGCACGUAAAGGGAUUUUGCAAAUUGGCACAAACAACGAGCAUUUUAUUGAUAACGAAAAGUUGGACUACAAGCGAAAGGCACACAACUCGACUUGUUCGAGCAUGGCCGGCGAGGGCAAAAUGAUCACCAAGACACUACGCAUUUAGCGAAGCGGGCUCACUUAAUACGUCUCACGCAACCUUCCCGUACUACCCCAUAUUGGCAUCCACCCAUUUGGCACCCCAAGGGUACAAAGGUGCUCACCGAGGGGUACGUUUUCCCCACUCCGCACACCCAUAGGAAAAUAGGCCGUCGACUCAUGUCCGACAUGCGUCCGGCUCAAUCCGUCGCAUAAGCGGUAAUCGUUAGCGAAAUACCUAUAUUCCCUUGGAUGCGUAGCACAAGAGAACCUGCGGGUAGCCAAUCGGAUGCCAAUUUACAAGCAAUGCCCAUCCCAAACAAGGAAAAUCCUAUGUCGACGUCGUGCUCGACACAAUAUUUACAGACUCUUUACAAACUCAAUGUUAUUGACAAAGGGCCGUUGACAACUAAAAAGGACCUUGACAGACUCCCCCACUUGAUUUCUCGACGCCCUCGUCGAGGUCUUCAGCUUGUAACUCCAUGCGUGCUUUGUUCAUCCCGACGUAUCCGCCAAGGUCUUCUGUUGGUACUCCCUGAUCCGGUCUUCUUCAUGUCAAAGUGCAUCUUCAUGCUCCCAACUGGCUUCAGCCUUUGGCAGGUUUUUCCACUGGACGAGGAACUCUCUUUCAGCUGCUCCACUAGGUAGCUUCCGCACUCUGUCCGCCAGAAUUUUGUUAACUCGCCUCUCGACUGAAGAAAUUGUGGGGGUGGGGCGAGUUGAGCUGUUCUGUGAGGGAUCUUCGCGGUCGGCAUGGUAGGGCUUCAGGCAGCUCGUAUGGAAUACCGGGUGGAUUUUAAGCCACGCCGGGAGCUGCACACGGUAGGAGACCUUUCCCACCUUGCCCACGAUAGGAAAGGGGCCUUCAUACUUCUGGACCAAACCUUUGUGCACUGUUCGGAACACUCUCAAGGAUGCUGGUUGGAGCUUGACCAGCACGAGGUCGCCUUUGUUGUAGUCUCGAGGCCGCCUAUACUUAUCGGCCCACUUCUUUAUAGUUCUUGCCGCCUUCUCCAAGUAGGCUCGGGCGAUCUCAGCAUUACAAUGCCACUCCUUGUCAAGGUGGUAAGCUGAGGGGCUGUUGCCGGUAUACCCGAUGACCAAAGUAUGUGGUGUAGAAGGUUGCUGGCCGGUGAUGAUCUCGAAGGGGCUUUUGUUGGUCGCAGAGCUCCGCUGCAGGUUGUACGAGAACUGGGCCACAUCAAGUAGCUUCACCCAGUCUCGUUGGUUGGCACUUACGAAGUGCCGAAGAUAUUGCUCGAGCAGAGCAUUUAUUCUUUCAGUCUGGCCGUCAGUCUGGGGGUGCAGCCUGGUAGAGAAGUAUAGUUUGAAACCCAAGAGCUUGAAGAGCUCCGUCCAUAACCGCCUGAGGAAGCGGGAAUCCCUAUCAUUGAUGAUGUUCUGUGGGACUCCCCAAUACUUCACUACAUGCUUCAAGAAUAGCCGCACCGUCUCCUCAGCAGUGCAACUUAUGGGUGCGGGGAUGAAAGUGGCAUACUUCGAAAAUCGGUCCACUAUGACAAGAAUCUAACCGAACUCCCCCACCUUUGGCAGACUCGCGAUGAAGUCCAGGGAGACGCUCUCCCAUGGCCGCUUCGACACUGGUAAGGGCUCCAACAGCCCACACGGCUUCUCUCGCUCUACCUUGUCUUGCUGGCAUGUGAGAUCGGUGCGUACAUAUUCUUCGAUGUCCUCCCCCAUUUUUGGCCAAUAAUAGGUCCUCUCCAUAAGGGCCAGGGUUCGAUGUACGCCCGGGUGGCUUGCCCACAGAGUGUCAUGACACUCGUGGAGCAGUUCUCUCCUCAGGUUCCUCGCCCACGACACGUACACUCGAUCCCCCUUGGUUUUGAUGAGGCCGUCCUGGAUCCAGAACCAUCGCGCCUUGCCUUCGUCAAUCAGUUGCCUGAGAGUCACUGUCAUGGGAUCCUUCUCCAACCCUUCACGAAUCCUCUCUUGCAAAGUCGCUUGUACUUGACUUGCCCUCUCAUUUGACAGAGUUUUAAGAGCGGCAAGUUCGGCCAGAGCGUCAGCAACUUGGUUACAUCGUCCUGGUUUGUACUCCAAGACCAUGUCGAACUCUGCUAGGAAGUCUUGCCAUCUCGCCUGCUUCGGAGUGAGCAUCUUCUGAGUCUGAAAAUAACUCAGGGCGACGUUGUCUGUCUUGACCACGAGUCGGGAUCCAAGAAGAAAGUGUCUCCACACUCGGAGACAAUGCACUACUGCUGUCAUCUCCUUCUCAUGGGUCGCGUACCGCCGCUCGGUGUCAUCCAGCUUUCGGCUCUCGAAGGCUACAUGGUGGCCAUCUUGUACAAGUACCUCCCCAAUAGCAUAAUCCGAGGCGUCCGUAUGAACUUCGAACGGGAGUGAGUGAUCAGGCAGACGUAGUACUGGCUCCUCCAUCACCGCAGCCUUCAAGUCAUCAAAGGCUUUCUGUACAAUGCAACAUGAAGAGAUGAGAUCAAAUGCAAUCUAAGACAUAAAAAGGAGUUCGAAAGCUUCGGGAUGGCACCCCCUACCUUUAAUCGAUGUAGAGGCUUCGGAAACCCUUCUCGGCGAACUUUACGAAAAGGCUUUAGCCUUCUUUGCCCAAGCCAAUGCUAACCUGGCCCUAUUUUGCCGAGAACUUCACGCCGGCUCGCCGAAUGCUAAAACCGACUUCGCCCCCACGUUUUGUGACCUAACAAUUAGGUUUCCAAGGCUUCAAAUGAGAUCAAUCUCAUACUUUCUCAAAAAUUCCAUUUUGGAGCCCUAGGUUUGCACCGAUAGCAAACCAUCCAAUAAAUCCCUAAAUUCUUGGGAUUGAUCUAUUUAGAAGCAUGCUUAGGGUCCAUUUGACCCAUUCCAAAGCAUAAAAACCCAAAACCCUAAAUUCUGGAAGCUAGGGUUCAAGAGCUUACCUCUUGUGCUACACCAAAGAGAAGAGGAGAGGGAGAUGAAGGUGUCCAAGGCCUUCCUCUUGAUCUCCUUCUUCUUCUUCCUCCUUAUCUUCCUCUUCUUUUCCUUCCUCUCCUUCUUGUUCUUCUUCUUCUCCUUUUCUUUCUAGAGAGAGAGAGAGCAAGAGAGAUAGAGAGGGAAUGAGAUGAGUGUGAGGGAGAGAGGGGGCUCAGCUCACUCUAAUAAAGGCCAUUUUGCACUUAAAUCCCUCAACUUUUCAUUUCUCAUGCAGCUGCCACUGGGCUGUUUUCGCCCAAAGGGACCGGUCCCUGGUCGGGGAGACCGGUCCCCGAGAGCUCUCCCUGCAGUCUGGGGACUUUUCGCGCAUGGGAAUCGGACCUCACCUGAGGAACCGGUCCCUGGGAGACCGGUCUCUCCUGAGAGACCGGUUCCCGAACGGGGAACCUUCAGGACUUAGCCAAAUUUUGGCGUCUUCUCGCGUGUGUCGCACACGGGGACCGGUCCCCUCAGCCAGGGACCGGUCGCUCGACCUCCCCCGCGACCAUCAGCUACGGGGAUCGGUCCUUCCCUCGAGGGACCGGUCCCCGAGAGCAAGAAUCUGCUGAAUCCAGAUUUUGCCCAUUUGCUCUCGCGGACUCAACUCCAAAGCAUUUUUUGUGUUUUGGACAUUUCCAACUCCCACAAAGGGUAUUCUCUCGACAAUUAGUCGAUCCUGGAUGAAGUACAAUCCACAGAUUUCGAGAAUUCACUUUCUUACAUCCUCCCCUCCUUAAAAGGAGUUUCGUCCUCGAAACGAACUCAAUUCUUUAUUUUACUUAAAUUCUUACCUCACUCCUCAAACAGAUGAUGAUGGUGUUUUCUUAUCAGAUCCUCGAGUUUCCAGGUGGCUUCGCGAUCCUCGUGAUUGCUCCACCUAACCUUCACAUAGGGGAUUUCUCGAUUUCUCAACUUUCGCACCUCUCGGGCGAUAAUCCCUACUGGAAACUCUUCAUAGCUUAAGUCUCCUUGAAGUUCCGGCGGUUCAUAUGGCAUCGCAUGCUCGGGGUCGUGAAUAUACUUGCGGAGAUUGGAGACAUGGAAUACAUUGUGUACAUUCGCAAGCUUCGGCGGCAAAGCAAGUUGGUAGGCCACCGUGCCGACUCGCUCCAAUAUUUCAUAUGGCCCACUGUAUCGGGGACUCAAUUUUUCCCGCACUCCAAACCGCUUCACGCCCCGCAUCGGUGAAACCUUCAAGAACACGUGGUCGCCUACCGCGAAUUCUAGAUCUCGACGGCGCCUAUCUGCAUAGCUUUGCUGUCUCGACUGCGCCGUGAGCAAUCUCUUGUGAGCAAGGCGGACUUUCUCUUCCGCCUCUCGCAACACAUCCAGGCCGAACUCAGCACGCUCACCUACAUCUCUCCAGUGUAUAGGGGACCGACACGUCCGCCCAUAAAGAGCCUCGAACGGUGCCAUCUCCACACUAGCAUCGUAACUAUUGUUGUAGGCGAACUCGGCCAUAGGUAGGUGGUCACAUCAACUUUCUUUAUAAUCAAUGACACAUGCUCGCAACAUGUCCUCCAGAGUUUGAAUAGUUCUCUCUGUUUGCCCAUCGGUCUGAGGAUGAAAUGCAGUGCUAAAGUCGAGCCGUGUGCCAAGGGCUUCCUGUAGGCUCUUCCAGAAGUGUGAAGUGAACCGGGGGUCACGAUCCGACACGAUCGAUUUCGGCACCCCAUGCAGUCUCACUAUCUCGUCAAGAUAUACCUGCGCUAACUUGUCACCCGAUCACGUGGUGUGGAUCGGCAAGAAGUGAGCCGACUUUGUCAAUCGGUCCACAAUUACCCAAAUUGCAUCGUGGCCGCCUGUUGAGCGAGGCAAGCCGACCACGAAGUCCAUCGAUAUAUCCUCCCACUUCCAAACGGGGAUUGGUAGGCUUUGAAGCUUUCCCGUUGGAAAUCGACGCUCGGCCUUCACUUGUUGGCAUGUUAAGCACUUUGCCAUAAAGCGUCCAAUGUCACCUUUCAUUCCCGGCCACCAAUAGUGCAUUUUCAGUCCUUGAUACAUCUUGGUGCCGUCCGGGUGAUCGGCAUACGGAGAUCGGUGUGCUUCUUGUAGUAUCAAUUCACGAAGCUCUCCAUCUUUCGGCACACACCAUCGGUUUCGAAACCGAAGCGUACCAUCGGCGUCUACCUUGAAAUCGCCGCCAUGUCCUUCCUAGAUGUUUCGCCGCAAUUUUUGGUGUUCGGGGUCUGCGGGUUGCAGAUCAUUGAUCCUCUCCAACAAAGUCUGUUGGAUGAGUGCCAUCAGCUGAGUCGGGAACUCGGGGGCGACCUCUUCAAGGUCCAAUCGCUCCAUAUCCAGCCAUAUGGGUGUUUGCUGGGUAACAUCAAAAGCGAGGUUCUUCGCCGACUUCCUUCUAAGUGCGUUCGCGACCACAUUUGCCUUCCCGGGGUGGUAGAGGAUAUCAACAUCAUAAUCCUUUAACAGUUCCAAACACCGCCGCUGACGCAUAUUGAGCUCCUUCUGUGUGAACAGGUACUUCAAGCUCUUGUUGUCACGCCCCGGAUUACACGUUCCCCGGGCACGCCGACAAAUUCGCCGUAUACAAAGAAAUUUUCCCUGUAUACGAAGCGACAGCUGUACCUGUAAAUCAAACACUACUACGAACAGUAGUAGAGAGCUGCUAGAGAAAACAGAAGCUAAACAAAUAGAGUUUCAUAUACAUAGUUCAGAUCCAAAAUACAGAGCUACUCGCACUGGCGAGUUAAGUCAACUAUGUACAUAAACUCGAAACAAAACAUCUACCUGCAGUAGGGGCACCUCUAGCUCAGCACGUCGGGUAGGGCUCUAACUCGCGACGCCCUUGCCUCGAUCCUGGUCCGCGGACGGUGCAGCAGCCGGAACCUGUGGCUCUGCAAAAACAUAGGUAACAACUGGGCGUGAGAACUACUGUAAAAACAAGUAGUCCUCAGUGGGUACCGCCCAAAACAACAUCGGUCCACCCACUAAGUCUACAGAAGGGAGCAAGAGUAGUCAGAAAAGCAGGAAAUAAACUCUACCGCUAUCGAUCACUACACUAUCAUGCUCUACACUAACCAACUGUAGGAAAUGUCAACUCUGACCCAAUCCAAUCGGGACUGUAAGCAUACCCGUCCUCGGGACUGUGAAUACACCCGUCCCUGCCCCGUUGCGACUAUCAAGCUCUAUCCACACUAACUGGUCCGUGGAGAGCAAGUCCAACUGGCAUGAGCGACACCAACGCGAAAGCACAAGCCUGACUCCGGAGUGGCACUCGUGGGCGCUACCCAACCGAGUAUGCAGCGUAUCUCUGUCGAGCUCAAACAGGCUCUGAAAAGCCAAAGUCAAGAAAUCGACUCUAACUGGUCUAACAACCAACAAGUAACGUGCCCUCGGUACUAUCAGACGCCAAAAAGGCGAUACGGGUCCACCGUCAACCUCAACGGCACCCUACAGUCCGGAACAGCCUGAACGACCCUGUAAAAUUCCCUGGGCGAACAAGCACGAGUGUAGAUAUAUUCUAAACUACCUGGAGUACUCGUCUCGAAGAUACUGCGACAGUAUAAUUUAAUAACGGCUUCUAGAGCUAAAUCAGGCAGUUUAAUCAAGUGACAGGUCCAAAUCGCAAGUUUUCUCCUAAUUCAGUUUCCAAGUCCAACAUAUAUAAUCUACUUAACUUAUUACCACAUGCUCCAAAUUCAGAUUUGCAUUCUAUCAUAUAAUCCAUGAAUUCGAGCUAGAAUAAAUUAUCCAAAAAUCAAAAUUUAUACAUGUCGACGAAUAUGAACUUAGGAGUAAAACCGAUGUAACCCACCUCGCACGCUAAUCCUUGGCAGCACCGAACCCCCUCGGCUGCGACACCACCUGCUGGAUCGACGAAAAACACCCGAGCCUUGAAAUCGAGCUAACUUCCACUAAAAACAUCAAAAUUACUCAAUUCAGUCCAAAAUCCACAGCAGCAGAGAAGAGAAGGAUUUCGACCAAGCUAACCUUCACCAAAAUUCGCAAGUAGGGGCUUCGUGGAUUCCUCUCGAAGUCCCGAAUCCAACACACCAAGUUUCGUCGCAAUCCGAUGCUCCUACGUCGAGAACGAGCUGAAAUACUAACGGUCGACGAUGGGAAUCAGCAAACAGCACCUAGCUCGAAAUGUCAAUACUUGAAGCAACGCAACGGAACGCUCACCUCCACGGCUAAUCGGUCAGCGACACGGCGUCGAGAACGGCGAAAACGCACCCUCGCCUAGCUUCCUCGCAGCACUACGAUCCCAACCGUAUCCCCGAACGACUUCGCGGCGCGACGUCGGUGUCGAAUCCGAGCUCCAACCGAACUCCUCCACGGUCGAACCAAGCUAGAGAGGGAGAGGGGAAGAAGGAGCAGCAAUAGAACUCCCUCUCAAGCUCUCUACGCCUAUAUAAAGAAGUAGGUGGAGUAGUGAUACAAACGAGGGAGAGAAUUACUAAAUUAACCCUCUACCUACCCCCUUGUACCGGUACACGGGCUCUUGUACCGGUACAAGAGCCAACCCGAGAGCUGCUAAGCCUCUGCGCGAUGGUUGUACCGGUACAGCCACGCUGGUUGUACCGGUACAGCAAGCAGAGAAAUCUGCAGUUUUGCAGAUUUCUUCGCUAUAAGCUACUCUAGGGACCACAAGUCGACACCUCCGAACAGCCGUCGAGACCUCUCACAGCCCUGUUCAAGCUCAACGCAACCGCAGUUUAUCUGCAUUUUGCCUGAGGCAGCCUGCGCUACCGNUAUAAGCUGCCAUCGCGUCGCACGGAGUCCGUUUUACGUCUAUUUGACGCCAACGCAACUCGAACUUGUCCCGACACUCUCCAGAGCUGCCGACAAGCCUCCACAGCUGAACACCAGGGAUCUCACACUUGUGGUCGAUAUAGAUCUCACAGUGGGCACCAUAUAAGUAGUGCCUCCAUAGCUUCAAGGCGAAAAUCACCGCCGCUAGCUCCAAAUCGUGGAUGGGGUAGUUCUUUUCAUAGCUCUUCAGCUGACGGGAUGCAUAAGCAAUUACCUUCCCGUUUUGCAUCAAUACACACCCUAACCCAAGAUAGGAGGCAUCACUGUAGACUACAAAGUCUUCGCCCUGCACCGGUAGAGCGAGCACCGGAGUCGAAGUCAAUCUUUGCUUCAACUCUUUGAAACUCCGGUCGCAUUCUUCGCUCCAAACAAACUUGGUGCCUUUCUGAGUCAGGCGGGUAAGUGGAAUCACUAUUUUGAAAAAGCCUUCCACAAACCGCCUAUAAUAGCCCGCCAAGCCUACAAAGCUUCGAACCUCCGUGACAUUCGUCGAGCGCGGCCAAUCCUUGAUUGCCUCGACUUUCCUCGGGUCUACAGAAACUCCACCUGCGGAAAUCACAUGCCCUAAGAAGGCGACCUCGCGGAGUCAGAAGUCACACUUCUUCAGCUUAGCAUAUAACUUCUCCUCCCGAAGGACCUGAAGCACUAUCCUCAAAUGCUCGGCAUGUUCCUCGUCACUACGAGAAUAGACCAAUAUGUCGUCUAUGAGGACCACGACAAAUCUAUCCAAAUACUUCUUGAAGACACGGUUCAUCAAAUCCAUGAACGCCGCUGGAGCAUUCGUGAGUCUAAAUGGCAUGACCGUGAAUUCGUAGUGUCCAUACCGCGUACGAAACGCAGUUUUCUGCACAUCCUCCGGCUUGAUCUUCAAUUGGUGAUAGCCGGAUUGCAAAUCUAUCUUCGAGUACACGCACGACCCUUGCAGCUGAUCGAACAAGUCAUCGAUUCGGGGUAGUGGGUACUUGUUCUUGAUCAUGACUCUGUUCAACUCCCGAUAAUCCACGCAGAGUCGGAACGAUCCGUCUUUCUUCCGCACAAACAACACCGGGGCUCCCCACGGUGAUACACUCGGCCGGAUAAAUUGCUUGUCGAGGAGGUCUUGCAAUUGACUCCUCAACUCUUUCAAUUCCGCCGGCGCCAUUCUGUACGGAGCCUUCGAGAUCUGUGCGGUACCCGGAACCAAGUCUAUGACCCGGUGGUAUCCCCGGCAACUCCGUGGGAAAUACGUCCGGGAACUUCUGCACCACCGAUAGCUCCUCUAACGUUGGAGCUACUCGUUCCAUUUCCACAACAGUCGCUAAGAAUGCAGUGCAACCGCUGUUAACUAGCUUCCUUGCUCUCGUCGCCGACACCGUCGCGACGAAGCACGAGCUUUGACAAACCCGAUAUGUGAACUCCUCUUGUUCUGGCUCACGGAAUGUGAUCACCCUGCUCUUGCAGUCGAUCGUUGCGCAAUAUUUCGAGAGCCUCCAUGCCCAGAAUGACGUCAUGAGCCUCGAGCUUCGUGAGUUCCAGUGUCCGGAUAGGCAUAAUCCAGUCACCCACUUGUACUGGACAUGACGCACACUCCGAGUAGGUAUUAAAUGUCGACCCAGGGCCCUCCACUCGCCAUUUGUCAUUCGCUUCUAUAUGUAUGCCAUGCAUGCGUUCGAAUGAUCUACUUAUGAAUGAAUGCGUGGCUCCUGUAUCAAAUAAAGCCCUGGAGCAAACUCCGUUAAUUAAAACCAUACCUGCCACAAGGCGAUGCUCCUCUGCCUCCACAGGUCCCUCAGCCUGGACCUGAGCGGCGUCCCUCCGCUUGGGGCCGAUCGCGUCGCUUCAUGUUGACGCGGCAUCAUCGCACUUCCAGCGCUCGUCGGUGGAGCUCCUCCAUAGUGAGCCGGAAUCGCCGGCGCCGAUGCAAUCGAGGGGGCAGGUGAGGCUCCUCCUCCCGGGCAAUCUCGAAUGAAGUGCCCCGGCUGCCCACACUUGUAGCACUUGCCUCGGCCUUGCUCACAGCGCGAGACCGGGUGGUCUCCGCCCAAUACGAUGCAUCGCCUCGCUCCAACGCCCUUCUGUUGAGUGUGCGGAUACUUCGGGGGUUUCUUGUAACGUGUCUGUCCCCCCGAGCUACCGCCACCUUGGCGUUUCUUGCCCUUGUUCUUAGACUCGGCCAAAGCCUCACGCUUCUCCCGAACGUGGGCAUCUCCGUGCUCCGCCCAUAGGGCUCGAUCAAAGACCUCCGCGAAGGUCGUGAGCUUGAGUAUUUGCACGGCCUUGUAGAUUCCCGGCCGAAGUCCUCGCAAGAACCACUCGGCCCGGUCCCGGUCAUCCUUUACAACGUCCAGGACACAGUCGAUAAUAUGGGAGAAUUCUUGUUCAUACUCCGCCACUGAGCGGCCCCCUUGCUCUAGCUUGCGGAACUUCUCCUUGAGCUUCUGCUUCAAUGUGUCGGGAAAAUAAUUGGCGAACAUCUCCCGCUUGAAUUCCUCCUAUAACAUUGGCGGAAGGCCGGGGAGCCGAUCCCGUUUGACGCGCUUCCACCAAACUUUCGCCGCCUUUUCCAAGCAGUGGGUGGCGAGAUACACCUUGUCCCUCUCCAAGGUGCGCAAGUCAUCGAAGAGGGUUUCCAUCGAGUCGAUCCAAGACUCGAUCAUCUCCGGUUCCACCUUCUCGCCCUCGAAGGUCGGCGGAUGGAACUUGUUGAACUUGAUAAGAGCCGCCAAAGCGCGCUCUCCCUCCACGUCCUCGGCCGACACAUCGGGUGUAGCCGAUCCCGAUGCCGCCUGUGGUACGAUCGCUGGCGGUGGGCGUGCCGUCACCGGAACUGCCGCUAUGCCCUCACCCUCCGUCGCUCCGGGUGCAUGAGUCGAGGGUGCGGGCGGACCACCGCCCUCAUUCGCCGUCGCAGCCGCCGCCGCGAUCUGCUGCUCCAAUAGAUCCUGGAGCCGCUCGAAUCGGGUCUCCUGGCGCUGCACCACGUUGGUCAGCGCUGUCACCUGCGCUUGCAACUGAUCGAUCGCGCUCGGUUCCUCCUGCUCGGGCACCUCAGGAAUCGGUGCUGGGGCAGAUCUACGUGUGUAGCGUCUUGGAGACAUUAGUCCCUGAAACGCAAAUACUUGGUCAGUCAUCUUAACCAAUUAUCUCGUCGCAAUUACGACACAUGACGACUCAACCACAAAAUCGGGCGGAAGCACACAAGUGCACUCGUUCUAGACUCUUGGUAUCAUGUUGCCGGCCGCCGACACAACCACCUCAAGACAAAAACUCAUACAACUUGAAUCUGUCUCUAUUCACAACUAGAGACAUAUUACCAAUUUCGACCCAAUCGAAUUAACUUCCGUCAUCGCUAUAGGUUCACGUUUCGCUCACGCACCUAUAACCUUAGGGCUUACCAACUUAGGGCCUCCUAGGUCAUCCUAGACUCUCUCUUUACUUGCUCUUAUGGCUCUGAUACCACGGCUGUCACGUCCCGCCCCGAAACCACUACCAAUUUGGCACGAUUUGGGCGCGGCGAGCGGACCGCCGAACGGACAGCACUCCCCUGUCCGUCCAAGGCUCAACAACAGGGAUGUGUACAAGAAUUUACCCAGGAAUUUAAAUUCUAAACAUACACAUCCGCAAGGGCACAAACAGUGCCAACAAUACAAAGAGCAAGCAAUCCACAAGAUACACAUGUGAAAUAAAGAGAGUACUUUACUAACUAUAACAAUAGUUUCAUCAUUUUCAUUUACAUCAUUCAUCCAAAAUACAUAGCUCUCCAAAUCCUCACCUACAAUGAAUCUCUCUCAAUACAUAGGUGCACUAAUGCAAAAAGGAAAACUACUAUUCUACCACGGUCUCACUGGUCGGGGGCAAUGCUCUUGCCGCGGUCCUCCCUCGGCAGCCCUGUACCUACCACUGGAAAUAGAGUGGGGUGAGAACUAUCUUCCAUAGUUCCCAGUGUGCUCGGCCGCCGACUCUGCCGAUCUCCCCACUAGGUCCAAGUGGGCACAAGUAACAACAGAUAGAUAGAUACAUAUGUAUCUGAAACUGUAAAUGCAAUAGUAAGAAAACUAUGCUACUAUGCAUAAUCAUGAAUAUGAAUGCAUGCAUCAUAUAAUAAAGGUUUGCUAUCGUGCUAACAAAUUCGAUCCAUGUUCGAAUAGCAAUGUUCAAUGACAUUAUUAAACCUUUACCUUUACUUUUACCGAAUCCGUGGCGAGGCCCUAGGGCUCGCCUAUAACUCACCUUUCAAUCCCAAAGUAGGGAGGGAGCUCCAAGUGCACCCAAGCCCGGGACCGUCUGCGGACCUCCAUGUGGUCCGGAUCUCCGAGUGGUCUUAGUCGCGCGACACUCCGGAGUACUCGACGACAAUCCCCUCCAUGUGGGGAUUGGCUGGCUAUACCAUCCCAAACGCAGACUGUGAGCUAGAUCUAUCAUUUCCAAGUGAGGAUGCCCUACAUCUAGGGUCAAUACCCAAUCGAAUCCUUUCCAAGUGAGGGAGCACUAUCACUAGGGUCCACAACCCAAUCAAAUCCUCUCCAAGUGAGGAAACCCUACCACUAGGGUCAAUGUCUCAAUCGACUAAUCGACAACCUCUCCAUGUGAGGCUACUUAGGUUUACUAAGUUCUUGUCCACAAGGCAUUUUCUAAGAGAUCCACCUAUCCCUAGGUUCUCAAACCUCUAGUGUUAUUUACACUACAUUAAUGCCACUCGUCAUUAUUUAACAUUUGGAUGCCACUCGUUUGUUCUUUAACAUUAACACUACUUUCUAUGUCAUCAACACCCCCAUCGGGUUCAUCUCUUUUCUCUCGCAUCGUAGGAUCCACGUUCCGACCCAAUCCUCACUUAUCUAAGUCACAAAGCGUUCCAAGUACACUAGGUUAUCAAUUAGAAAGCAUAAGGAAUGGAGUUACUAUGCAAUCCUACAAUGCAACAUGAAGAGAUGAGAUCAAAUGCAAUCUAAGACAUAGAAAGGAGUUCGAAAGCUUCGGGAUGGCACCCCCAACCUUUAAUUGAUGUAGAGGCUUCGGAAACCUCUCUCGGCGAACUUUACGAAAAGGCUUUAGCCUUCCUUGCCCAAGUCAAUGCUAACCCGGCCCUAUUUUGCCGAGAACUUCACGCCGGCUUGCCGAAUGCUAAAACCGACUUCGCCCCCACGUUUUGUGACCUAACAAUUAGGUUUCCAAGGCUUCAAAUGAGAUCAAUCUCAUACUUUUUCAAAAAUCCCAUUUUGGAGCCCUAGGUUUGCACCGAUAGCAAACCAUCCAAUAAAUCCCUAGAUUUUUGGGAUUGAUCUAUUUAGAAGCGUGCUUAGGGUCCAUUUGACCCAUUCCAAAGCAUAAAAACCCAAAACCCCAAAUUCUAGAAGCUAGGGUUCAAAAGCUUACCUCUUGUGCUACACCAAAGAGAAGAGAGGGAGAUGAAGGUGUCCAAGGCCUUCCUCUUGAUCUCCUUCUUCUUCUCCUUCCUUAUCUUCCUCUUCUUUUCUUUCCUCUUCUUCUUGUUCUUCUUCUUCUCCUUUUCUUUCUAGAGAGAGAGAGGGCAAGAGAGAGAGAGAUAGAGAGGGAAUGGGAUGACUGUGAGGGAGAGAGGGGGCUCAGCUCACUCUAAUAAAGGCCAUUUUGCACUUAAACCUCUCAACUUUUCAUCUCUCACGCAGCUGCCACUGGGUUGUUUUAGCCCAGAGGGACCGGUCCCUGGUCGGGGAGACCAGUCCCCGAGAGCUCUCCCUGCAGUCUGGGGACUUUUCGCGCACGGGAACCGGUCCUCACCUGAGGGACCGGUCCCUGGGAGACCGGUCUCUCCUGAGAGAUCGGUUCCCGAACGAGGAACCUUCAGGACUUAGCCAAAUUUUGGCGUCCUCUCGCGGGUAUCGCACACGGGGACCGGUCCCCUCAGCCAGGGACCGGUCGCAUCGACCUCCCCCGCGACCAUUAGCUACGCGGACCAGUCCUUCCCUCCAGGGACCGGUCCCCGAGAGCAAGAAUCUGCUGAAUCCAGAUUUUGCCCAUUUGCUCUCGUGGACUCAACUCCAAAACACUUUUUGUGUUUUGGACAUUUCCAACUCCCACAAAGGGUAUUCUCUAGACAAUUAGUUGAUCCUGGAUGAAGUACAAUCCUCGGAUUUCGAGAAUUCACUUCCUUACACAUGUUGUCUUCGCCUCGUCACUUUCCGCGAUCCGGACCUGCCAGUAACCCGAUUGCAGGUCCAGUUUGGAGAAGCACUGCGCCUUCCCCAAUUGAUCAAACAAGUCCGCAAUGAGUGGGAUUGGAUACUUGUUUUUGAUUGUCACUUUGUUCAGAGCUCGAUAAUCCACGCAUAGCCACAAACUGCCAUCAUGCUUCUUCUGGAAAAGUACAGGGGCUUCGAACGGUGCUUUCGAGUUGUGAAUAAGACCACCUUCAAGCAGCUCAUCUAGUUGCUUCCGAAGUUCCGCCAACUCCGGAGGAGACGUACGAUAGGGAGAGCGAGUCGGGGCCCUCGUGCCAGGCUCGAGCUUAAUCCAGUGGUCUACUGCUCGUCGGGAAGGCAAAGAUUUCGGUAGUUCUGGCGGCAUGACAUCUUUGAAUUCCUUCAAGAGCUUCGCCACUUCAGGUGGCGUCGGAGUCUCGACCCCACUCCCAGUCUCCAACUUCAAAGCCGCCACAUAAGUCAGCUCGCCUUUCUUCACGCCCUUCUUGAGAUGGAGCGCUGAAAUCUGUCGGGCAUUCGUCGUCUUCCGCACCACCGAAACGACACAUGGAGAUUCAUCUCCCAUCAUGCAGAGAGCAUCCAAGAAUGGCAUUGGUACCCCUCUAGACAUCUGGAGAAACUACAUCUCGAGGAUGACUUGGAAAUCAUCCAGCGGCACUGACGUGAAAUUGGCUUUACCCGUCCACGAGCCGAUGCUAACAGGCACCUCCUUCGCAAGACCCGCAAUAGGUUGGGUCUUCGAGUUUACUGCUUUCAUGACUCCCAUCCUUGCUCAGUGUAAUUCCGAGACGUUCAGCUUCACCAGUCGCAAUGAAGUUAUGAGUAGCACCUGUAUCCACCAUCGCCCUAGUUGUCCUGCCAUUGAGCUUGAUGUCCACGUACAUCAGCUCACUAUGCUUACUCUCCUUUGGUUAGAGGGAUUUCGCCUUCGGUAGUGGGGUCUUCUCUUUCUCCCCCACUUGACCCUUCAGUGCAUUGAGCAACCGGAGUGCCCCCACCCGGAUGCUUCCUGUCUCUGCUGCCUCUUCCUCUUCGUCGGAUUCGGGGUCCUUCGUCUGCAUCGCGUUGAGGGACUUCCUCUGAGGGCACGAUCUGACAAAGUGUGGACCCCUGCAAAGGAAGCAACCCUCUUCAAGGCUCUUCGAGUUCUUCGGACCCUUUGACCCUACCCCUUUUCGCUUCGUGGGUGCCGGUCCCUUACCCUUCGCCUUGUGGUUGUGGGUCUUGGGAUUGUUGUUCACGGGUUUCUUCUUGAGGUGUUCCGGCGUUGAGUAGUCGGUCAGUCACUCAGCCGCCCCUGGGCCGCGGCUAAGUCCUUGAUAUGCUGGCGACGCAAUUCUGCCUGUGCCCAAGGUUUCGGUCCCUCGUGAAAAUGAAAGAGUUUGUCUUUCUCGGACAUAUCUCGGAUAUCGAGCAUCAACGCGGAGAACUGCUUGACAUAUUCUCGAAUUGACCCCGCCUGUUGGAGCCUUCGCAAAUUUCGCCGCGCGAUAAACUCGACAUUUUCAGGAAGGAAUUGAGCCUUUAACUCCUUCGUUAGUUCCUCCUAAGUGUCGAUGGUACAGCGACCUUUCUGAAUGUCCUCAUAUCGGGUCCUCCACUAUAAUUUAACAUCCCCAUCGAGGUACAUCGUCGCGAACGUGACCUUUGACUCCUCUUUGUUGGGUUGGAUGACACGGAAGUACUGUUCCAUGUCAAAUAGAAAGUUCUCGAGCUCCUUCGCAUCACGAGCUCCAUGAAAGCUCUGUGGUUCCGGCACUCGAACACGCCCUGCAUGACCCCCAUCUUGGGUUGUGGGAGGAGCAUUGCUCAUGGCCCUUGUUAGCAGGUUCACCCGUGCAAACAAUUCGAUGGUCUGCUUCUUCAAGUGAUGGACCGCCUCCUUCGUAUUAUCCUGUAGCUCAGCCACUUGCUCGACGAGUUGAGCGAGCGUCACCUCCAGCAUGGUGACCCGCUCCUCAUGCGCGGCCACCUUUGUCACUUUCUUGUCGAGUCGAUUAAGCUGGGCUUCUAAGUCGACAAGUCGUUCCUGAUUGCUCCUGUGCCUAUCUGAUUCGCCUUGUCCUUCGUUAUCCGCCGGCGCCACAUGCUGCGUUGUCGAUGGUUGCGCCACCGUACUUGUUUCUACGACAGGGGCUUUGCUCCGACCCAUGUCGUCUCCGUCGAUUCGGGCUCUGAUACCACUUGUCACGGGUCUAUUGACUUUUUGUCGAAAAGCCCGCGUGGCGCUCGUCUGUCACCUGCACAAACAAGCCAGCCAAAUCGUCCCAAGGCACAACUUCGCAAAUUGGCAACGACCGAGAAUUGAGAGCAAGCACGUAAAGGGAUCCUGCAAAUUGGCACAAACAACGAGUAUUUUAUUGAUAAUGAAAAGUUGGACUACAAGUGAAAGGCACACGACUCGACUUGGUUGGGCAUGGCCGGUGAGGGCAAAAUGAUCACCAAGACACUACGCAUUUAGUGAAGCGGGCUCACUUAAUACGUCUCACCCAACCUUUCCGUACUACCCCAUAUUGGCAUCGACCUAUUUGGCACCCCGCGGGUACAAAGGCGCUCACCGAGGGGUACGUUUUCCCCACUCCGCACACCCAUGGGAAAAUAGGCCGCCGACUCAUGUCCGACACGCGUCCGGCUCAAUCCGUCGCAUAAGCGGCCAUCGUUAGCGAAAUACCUAUGUCCCCUUGGAUCCGUAGCACAAGAAAACCCGCGGGUAGCCAACCGGAUGCCAAUUUACAAGCAAUGCCCAUCCCAAACAAGGAAAAUCCUAUGUCGACGUCGUGCCCGACACAACAUUUACAGACUCCUUACAAACUCAAUGUUAUUGACAAAAUCAGGGCCGUUGACAACUAAAAAGGACCCUGACACUAUGUCAGUAGCACCGGAAUCCUUGAUGAUGUAUAGAUUGAAGAGAUGUACUAACGGUAUUAAGUAAAGAACGCAUAUUUCACUAGCUUCAAAAUUUUUGCUCGACUUUCGCUCUGGUCUUUAACUUUGAUUUGUUGCAUUAGGGGGUCUCCGGGUCUUCAAGUUUUAAAACAUUCCAUUAGUCCUGCCGUCAACUUUCUAUACCUUAAGACGCAGAAAUUUGAUGUGCCAUGUCAAGCCACCAUUCUAAGGCUGUCAACUAUUUGUGCGUUGCCAAAUAUUCUCAUACUAGUGAAGGCCUGCGCUUUGCGGCGGUAAGCAAGCAUCCAAAUAAGCAGAGCAGUGAGAACUGUUCAGAUAAGUAACCAUCCAAAUAAGUAGAGCAUCUAAACUUUCAACCGUAGUAUAAAAUGAAUGCUUUAAAAAGAGAUGAAAAGUUCUAUACUAAAUCAGCAUGUGGAAACCAAACCAAACAGUAUACAUGAAUGAGUAUAGAAAUGAAUAAAUAUAGGCUGCUCAGACUCCCCUGGCCAUCGAGCAUUAUUAAAUUAGCACCGAAGCCUUCUUGAUUAAUAGUUUUGACUGAGUUAGAGUCCAUAUGCAUGUCGAAACCGUCCUUAGUACAAAUGAGAGCAACUGGUUGCCCACGAAGUAGGCCAUCCAAAGUUUCCUCAUCACCAAUCAAGAAGGCUCGGACCCCUAUCAAUUAUUGCAACCAUCUGAGAUUCAAGGGGAAGAUCAUCAUAGCAUGGGACAAAAGAAGGGUAAGCAAAGACUCGAAAAAUAGAAGGGUCAAAUUCUGGUGACACUCAAGUCAUCACAGCAUGGCUAAAAAAAGAGGCGUAAGCAAAAUAUCCGAAAAGCGACAGAACAUGAUUAUAAACCACAAAGGGCACAACUAUGAAGAGGAGCGAAGAACCUACAACCAGCUGGAAGGCGUAGGAAGCCUGCAGAACCAAAUUCCUUUCAUCUAUCAUCACUACCUAGAAAGUACAUUAAUAAAAUUAGUAUUAAUUACAAAUAUAUUCGAUUAUUCUAAAUUGCUUAAAUUUAUUUAAAAAGUCAAUAAGCAAGAAUCACACCAAACAAUGGUAUAAAUUCUAAUAUAAAGACCUACAAAAAAGAGGGGAGGAAAAAAAGUAAGGGGGAAAAAUUUAGUAUUAAAAAAAUUAAUGCACAAAAAUGUAAGGCUCAGUUAAGUUGGUUCGGCAAAUUUGUUCAUAAGCAUAGGCUAGUAGGACCAAUAGACUGCCGUAGGAGGAAAAUGUGGGCUACCACGAAGGAUAAGAAGCGCGGAACCACCAAAGAUAAAAAUAAUAGGAAGUGGUUGCCUAUGAGCAGGCCGUCCAAACUUCCCCUUGUUUGAAGC
rnacentral:lncRNA from 1 species